rnacentral:lncRNA from 1 species
UUUUUUUUUUUUCUUUUUUUUUUUUUAUGUUUACUUGAUAGCGAUACAGGAUCAAAUGGUUCUUUUUUUUAAUUUAAUUUAUAGUAUUGUUUUAAGAAGGAUCAAACGGUUCAAUUUAACAGUUUCGCCGAAUAAACAAAAAGAAAUGCAUUCACACCCACGGUCAAUGACAUUGCUCUAAGGUGUUUGGUCAUAAAAAUAAAAAAGAAAUUACGUUAUUUGGAAAAAAAAUUAGAAUAUUUAAAGUUUUUAUUAUUAUUUCAAGGAUCAAAAUAGAAUUUAUCAAUUAACUGAAAUAUCAAAAGUAUUGCUCCUUCCGUCUAAUAAUAGUUGUCUAUUAUACUAUUUGGAAUGUCUAAUAAUACUUGUCUACUUUAUAAAAUCAAUGGAUAAUUUUAUUUUAGUUUUUAAUUUACCCUCAUCAUUAAUUAUAGUCAUUUACAUAUUAUAUUUUUCAAGACAUUGUAUUUAUGAUAGUUCGUGUAAAUUUGAGCCCAACGACCCAUUUGAGCCCAAAGUAAACUUGAGCGGGUCAUUACCCAACCCAAUUUCUAUUUCAACCAAUUUUAAUAGAGUAAAUUUUAGGUUUAGCAAACAUAAAAUUCAUAUUUGUAUGUUAUAACUAUAGUUUGCAUAAUUGCGUUUCAUAGCAAAUUUUAUGUUUGUUAUGGAGCAUCAGAUUGUAUAAAUCGCUAGCAUGCCUCUUGUUUGUAUAAAAGUGCAGCAAUUGUAUAUGUAAAUCGGUUAGAUAAUUGUAUAUAUGUAACUACUAUGUAUAUGUAUCAAUGAUUAUGUUGUAUAUAUAUCUGCAUAAAAUUUAAAUUUGUAUACAAUUGAAUCGAAAUAAAACAUUUGUAUAUCAAAAUUUCUCUCUCUCUCUCUCUCGCUUUAUACAACACAAAUUAUACAUUGUAAUUUGUAUAAUUUGUGUUUGUAUAAAGAGAGAAAGACAAAAUAGAACUGGGAGGGGAAGAUCUAUAUUUGUAUAAUUAUAAGUGUAUAGGACGAAAAUAUAUGUAUUUGUAUUUGUAUAUACAAUUUUCUCUCUCUUUAAGUCUUUAUACAUACACAAACACAUUUUAUAAAUUUGUGUUUGUAUAAAGUGAGAGAGGCGAGUGAGAGACUGGAGAGCGAGAAAUCUGGGGAGAGAGGCGAAUGACAACUAUUUGCUACGGGUUACAAUUAAAUCAAAAUUGUGGUUAUAACAUUUAAUUUGAAUUAAUAGUUUGUUAUUUUAUACAAUUUUCCCUUUUAAGAAUGGUCAGAUUAAUUUAACGACUCUUGAGGUGAUAAAUCGUUAAAAAGGCUUAAAUUAGGAACAUUUGAAGGAUAAUUUUUCUUAAAAGUAAUAUUCUUAGGAAUUACGUUAAUCUAACACGUGAGGUGACAAACCAAUUAAAAUUGCUCAAAUUAAAAAGAUUUGAAGGAUAAUCUUUGUUAAAAGUAAUAUUUUAAGGAUCACCAGGUUAAUUGAACAGUUACACAUAAACAUAAAGUAUUAAUUUUAUUAAAAAAUUGACCGAGUUAUUAAUUGAGCAGUCACACAUUAAGUAUUAAUUUGGCCAAAACACAUAAAAUAUUAAUUAAACGAAAAAAUUAAACUCACUAUAUAUAUGUUAUCACCUAUAUAUACUAUGGUACCACUCUAAAGUCAUUUAUAAACCCUAAAUUAUAGAAAUCAAAAUCAGUCUUUUUUCUAUCAUGGCUGAAAAAAUCUUAAGGAGUGCUCUUCUCAUUCUCUUGUUUCUCACAGUUGGUAAGUAUAUAUGUAAAUGUAAUUUAUAUGAUUUUUGUUUCUACUCAUUUGAUUAUCAUUCACAAAAAUCUAUUCCCAAUCGUGCUCGUUUUGAAUUUGGUCAUACCUUUUUAUGUUGGCUAAGCUUAUGUGAUGCAUACGUUAAUAUAAAAAAAUACAAAAAAAUAUUUUAGAAGAAGAAUUUUUACAUUGAAUAUUCGUAGAUCAAAUUACUUGUUUUCAAGGGCGGAGCUAGGGAGGUGGAAUGAGGGUUCUACCACAUUGAAUCCUCUCAUCUAUUCAUGUAUUUUUUUUUUAUAUAUAUUUUAAAUUAAAUAUUUGUGUCUAGGGAUAUAGCUAUAGGGGGACAGUAGAGGUUCAUUCGAACCCUCUUUGCUGGAAAAUUAAAUUCUAUAGUGAAUGUUGAUCAAUUUACUUGUCAAUCUUCUUUCUGUGUUUAUUUCUUUAUAGUUUAUUUCUUCUUACUGAAAAUUCUGAUUCAGCCACGACUCGUUAAUUUCAACAUUUAUUGCACUUAUAUAUGUUUCUCAUUUCAUUUUUUUGUUUGUUUGUUUGUCAAAGUGAUGGUGGCAAGAGGAAGUGUUGGUGAAGAAAAAUCACCAGUGUGCCAAGGAAAAUGUGAGAACUAUCCAGAUUGUAAUGAAUUUUGCAAAAGAAUAGGAUUUAAGUCUGGCCAAUGUGUUCCACCUUUUGGGCAAUUCUGUUGUUGUGAUCCUUAAAAUUAAAUUUUAUGGUUUUAUUGGAUUUAAUAUUUGACUUUAAAAUAUAUUAAAAGUUAUUAUAUGUUGUAUUUAAGCUAUUUGUUUAAUUGCAAGCUUAUCCAAUUUCAAGCUUAUUCAAUUGCAAACUUAUCUAAUAAACUAUAUAAUAUAAAUUAUAAAAAAUAAUAAUUUUAAAAAAAUAUAAUAUUCUAAAUGAUCAUGUUAAUCCAAGGGUUAGACUUUGAAGUACCAUUUUAAAUGAAAUUAAAACUCAGUAUUUUAUCAUCUAUAUAUAUAUUAUAUAGUACCAUUAUCAUUAAUUUCUAACUCUUAAGUACUUUAUAAACAACCUGUAAUUAUAAAAAUGGAGAUUUGUUUCUAUUUUAGUUUACUCACAAUAAGUAUUUUUUUUUAAUUUAUUGAAUUUGAAUGAUAUAAUUCCUUUUCCUUGAAUUUCCCAAAAAUGCAGAUGACAAUUACUUGGAUUGUACUCAACCUAAAGCAAAUUUCCUAUUGGGUUGUUUAGUUCUUGGAUCUCUUUGUGGUUUAGCCUCAGGCCCAAUAACUUGGCCAACCUUUGGUGAUGAAGGUGUUAUACGAAAGAGAAAACAUGAUAAGACGGCCUAAAAUCACAUAAAAGAAAUUUAUCUGAAAAGAUUUAUAUAUAUAAUGUCUAUUAAUUGGGGUUAAGUUUUAAUCGCGUUAGUAUGUUUUCUUCAGGUCCAUUGGUUUUAGGCAUCUUUUAUUAUAGAAUGAUACAUUGUUAUCUGCGGCAGAAACAAGAUUUCCACUAAAGAGUUUUAAAAUAUAAAAACUCGAACACACAAAAAAGUCUAAGAGGAUUCAAUAUCUACUAUAUAUAAACAGUAUAAUUUUCCAUUGAACGAAAUUCAAAUGAACCCCUCAACCCUAUGUUGCUCCACCCCAAAUAUUACAUUAUUUUUUGCUUGGUAAAGAUACCAAAUGAUUCUUGCUGUAACUAAGGGCCUAGUGUCACAGACUUGGAUAGUUUCUCCCCCCCUUAUAUUUAUCUCUUAUUUGAAUGGCAAAAUGACGGGUAGUCACUGCAACUACGAAAGUGUAUUGUCCCGUCCAUUUUUAUAAGAGAUUUUCAUUUUUAUAAUGAAAGGUAAUUAUUUUUAUAUAUAAGAGAUAUAAUCAUAUUUUUUUUUAUUCAAUUUGUAAAUGGUGGUAAUUUUUUUAUCUGGCAAACACAGAAUUGUUACUUCAUAUUGUUUCAUUAUACAUCAUUUUGUAAAUGGGAGAUCAUUUUUUAUGUGACAAACUAGGAAUUGCUAUUUUCAUAUUAUUUUUCAUUACAAUAUCAUUCAAUUCGCAAAUGAUCAUAAGAGAUCAUUUUUUUAUCUGGUAAAUUAGUAAUUGCUACUUUCAUAUUAUUUUAUUACAUACCAUUCAAUUUGUAAAUGAUGAUAAAAUAUCAUUUUUUAUCUGUCAAACUAAGAUUACAUACCAUUCAAUUUAUAAAUGAUCAUAAGAUCAUCUUUUUUAUCUGACAAAUUAGGAAUUGCUAUUUUCAUAAUGUUUCAUUACAUACUAUUCAAUUUAUAAAUAAUCAUAAGGAAUCUUUUUUAUCUGACAAACUAGACAUUGCUACUUUCAUAUUGUUUCACUACAUUGUUAUUAAAAAAAAAAGGUGAGAGCUAAAGGAGGGCUUACAUUGUUUAGGCACGCACACAUGCAUGACAAUUUGGCAAAGAGCCUAAUAGUACUUGAUUCCUACAUUACUAAGUACUUGCUACAUAUGUCAAAUCAGUCAUAUGUAUGCAUGCCUCUUUCAACUUUGGAAAACUCAUUCAAAGUUAAGGCAUUAAUUAGCUUUUGUUACACUUUUUCAGUAUUGAGAAUUUUUCCAUGAUUGAUUGCUUUGGGUUUCAGUACUCAUAUUUGACCACAUUAUUGUCCAAAUUAGGUAAGGGAAUCAUUUUUUCAUAACAAUAAAGCUUAGUCCCAUAUUAUUAUUUCAGAUAAAUGGAGGAUACUUUUCCCCAAGUAGUACAAAACAAAAUUUAAAUUACUCGUAUUGAAGUCGUACUAAUUUAAAUUUGUCCAACAUAGAAUUCAUUCAGAAGAAGCGCUCCCUAACAAAGACUUUUCUAUAUUCGGAGCUUAAAACUAAGAUCUUCGCUUAAGAGAAGAGCAACUCAUAUGUUGCACCACAUCUGGUAAAAUUUGAAACUAUGACAAAUAUUCGUCUAUUGUUAUCUCUUGAAAAUCAUUAAAUUAGGACACGUGUUAUUGUUUGAAAAAUAUUUAGAUUAGAAAACGAUCAAUAGACAUUUUUCAUGAAAAAUAGUUUCAAUUUUGGUUGAUGAGUGAAUUAUUUUUCAAAUAAAUUAACAAAACUAUUAUAAAUAGCAAACUACAUAGUAUUUUGCUAAAAAAAUUGACUAUUAAAGAUUGAAUUAAAUAGCAAGAUAAUAUAAUAUAAGAAAAAAGAUUUAUAUUGAUACAAAUUAAAAGUUAGUAUGAUUACACCCCUUUUAGUGGAAAAUGUUUUUCUCUUGAAAUAAUUUCCAACAUACCAAACCCACCCUUAAAAAAAGGCAUGUGGGGAAUGCUUUGCCCCUAAAAGUCUGUCCCAAAUUUUCUUUCCCACUACAAAAGUACAAAUCCACAAAGUUGAUUAAGUUUGUUCAUGAUUCUUUAGGAGUUUAUUAUAAAUUAUUAGUCAAUUUUUCAAGAAAAAGAGGAAUUUAGGAGGAGCAAAAGAUAAAGCAAAGUAGUCUUAGGGGUCAUUUGAUUCGGAAACUAAAUUAUUUCAGGAUUAUAGUUUUGAAAUUAUAAUUUUUGAACUAAUUUAUCCCACUUGAAAGUUGGAAUGAGAUAAGGUGAGACAUUCAGUAUAAAUUUAAUUCCAAACUUAAUCUUGGCAUAUCCUACCUUAUUCCACGUACCAAAUGAACCCCUUAUAGUAUACAACAACGAUAACAAAUCCGGUGAUCCCAUCAGUGAAGUCAGAAAAGGAUGGAUGUACGUAGACUCACCCCUAUUUAUAAGGUCUUAGAGUAUCAUUAUUCAAAUACCUAUAUCAAGGACAAAAGAUGUACAAUAAUCACUAGUGUUUCAUGCACUUUGUUUUGUUAUAUACUCAUUUUUAUGUAGGUCCCAAAUAUUUGUUUGAAAGCUUCAAAAAUGAACCUUAAAACCAGGAGGAAUAAAGUUGACUUUAGUAGCUACAUGAAAGCUUAAAAAUGCUCAAAAAGCCAAAUUAGCAUAAGUUGGCUUGUUUUGUUUCAACUUGUCACACAUAUCUACCUUUCUAAUUCUCUUUACAGAAAAUUCCAAACAAACAAACAAAGGAUUAUUGAAACUUAAAACUAAUAGUAACUAAUAUGACAAACUUCUAUUCAAUGCAAAUGUAAUAAGUUUUGUUGAAUCACUUAAACACCACUUUUGGCAUUUGAUGAUGAUGAUGAAUAAUAAAGCAAUGAUGAAGCAGAGAAGCUUGUGUUAUUGCUCAUUGUAUACAUACUUCUUGCUUUCUGUCCUGAUGAAGAUGUUGCUAAAACACCCUUUGAUGAGUUGUUGUUUUCUUGAUUAUGAUCAGUAGUAGUUGUUGUUGUUGGAGAGCCUUUGAGUAAAACAUCGACUUUGGCGUAUUCUUCCCUCUCAUGAAGAAGACUUCCUAAACUCCCAUUUGGCAUGUAAUCAUACAUGAGCAAUCUUGUGCUUCUGUUCCAACAACACCCCAAGAAUCGACUUUUGGCAUUUGAUGAUGAUGAUGAAUAAUAAAGCAAUGAUGAAGCAGAGAAGCUUGUGUUAUUGCUCAUUGUAUACAUACUUCUUGCUUUCUGUCCUGAUGAAGAUGUUGCUAAAACACCCUUUGAUGAGUUGUUGUUUUCUUGAUUAUGAUCAGUAGUAGUUGUUGUUGUUGGAGAGCCUUUGAGUAAAACAUCGACUUUGGCGUAUUCUUCCCUUUCAUGUUUGAUUUCCUUUAGCAUUGCUGCUACAUCUUUCAUUGUAGGCCUUUCAUCAGGAGUGGAGUUGACACAUAACAGGGCUACUCCUAAUGCUUGUAACAUUUCCUCGAUUUCUGAUUCUGGUCUCGAGUGUAGACUUGGAUCGAGGACUUCAAUUCCACCUCUUUUCCGUCUUACCCAAUCAACUAGAUGCACUCCUUCGGGAAUUGUUGGAUCGAUUGGCUGCUUACCUGUCAAGACUUCUAAUACAACCACUCCGUAGCUGUAGACAUCGCUCUUUGCAGUUAUCUUCAUCAUAUAGCCAUAUUCUGUAAUGAAAAAUGAACAACAUUGGAGCACUUGGAUCAAUGAUCAUCAAGAACUACUGAUAUUCUUUGAAAAAAUUGUGAUAAAUGCAAUGUGUAAUCGUUGUCGCAUCUGUUACUUCUUUUUCUAGAUUGCCUUGUUUUUGUUUUUCCAUGAAGCGAGGGUCUAUUGGAAACAACCUUUCUACCUCUGAGGUAGGCAUAAGGUUUGCGUACACUCUACCCUUCAUAGACUGCAUUGCAUGGGACUACGCUGGGUAUAUUGUUGUUGUUGCAAUGUGCAAUCAAUGCUUAUACUAUAACUAAGCAAAAUGUAUACUCGGAAUAAUAUGCUAGGAAUUAGAAAAUGAUGACGAAUUGUAACUUGACAUGAAAUAAAAAAACAUGUUUACCUGGAGCAAUGUAGCCAUAAGAACCAGCAACUGUAUUGGAGGAACGACCAAAAUCACCAUCAUCGACUAGUUUUGCGAGGCCAAAGUCUGCAAUGUAAGGCUCAAACUCAAGACCAAUGAGAAUGUUGUUGGCCUUGAUGUCUCUGUGAACAAUUGGAGGAGCACAGUCAUGGUGCAAGUAGGCGAGCCCUUGCGCUGCCCCGAGCAAUAUUUGGUAUCUCAAUUCCCAUUCCAAAGGGUUACCACCUCUCUCAUGGAGAAGACUUCCUAAGCUCCCAUUUGGCAUGUAAUCAUACAUGAGCAAUCUUGUGCUUCUGUUCCAACAACACCCCAAGAAUCGAACAAUGUUCUUGUGUCGAAUUGAACCAAGCGUCUUAACUUCUGCAGAGAACGAAUCACGUACCCCACACUUCUCAUCAUUGCCUCCAUUAGUUGUAGUCAUGGUUAUUGGCCAAAGCUUCUUCACUGCUAUGACAUCACCAUUGUUCAUAUCUGCACGAUAGACCAUCCCCGAGCACCCUUUUCCAAUGACAUUAGUAUCCACAAGGCAUCUGAGUAUUUCGUCCACUGAAAAAUUGAGCUUCUGGAAUGGAGUAAACUGCCAAGCCCAAGAAUCUCCCAUCUCUGAAUCAUCAUCCCUUCUCAUCGCCCUUCGUGCUCGUAUGAUAGCAAUAGUUCCCAUGAUCACCAUUGCUAUUGUCAUGAUGACUAGCAAUGCAAUGGCUAAUUUGAGCUUCUUUGACCUUCCCUCAUCAUUUCCAUUUUUAGCUACUCCUACUCCAUCGAUAUUGCUGAGAAAACACGAAGGCCUUCCGAAUGAACAUAGACCUUCAUUUCCAUCUAGGUCUGAUGAUGGUAACUGUCGAAAGAGCUUAUUGUCCGGAAGAUAACCAGUGAAGUUGUUGUAUGAGACAUUCAGUGAGACAAGAUUAUCGAGCCUCGCUAGUGGAUUCAAGUUCCCUUCAAGCUUGUUGUGCGAAAGGUCAAGUAUCGACAGCUUGCUUAGUGAGGAAAUUUCAGCAGGAAUUGGACCUGUUAGUUCAUUGAAACUAAGGUUGAGAGUGAUUUCAAGGGACUCAAUCUUUCCUAACUGCAUCGGUAUGCCUCCCGAGAGCUCAUUGCUGCUAAGAUCAAGCAAUUGAAGACUCGAACACAGGCCGAUAGAUGGAGGUAUCGACCCUGAGAACGAGUUCUUACUGAGAAUCAGCUUGUUCAAGGACACAAGACGCCCAAAACUAGCCGAUAUAGGCCCUCCAAACCGGUUAUUCGAAACGUCCAAGACUUGAAUCCCUGAUAGUGAAGACAGAGUGUUAGGCAGGGGACCUUCCAGUGUAUUGCUGCUGAGGUCUACCAUUUGUAGCUCAGUACAGCUAUUUAUCUCAUCAGGAACUGGUCCAGAAAGGCGAUUACCGGACAAAUCAAGAAAGUUUAAGCUCUUAAGACCUCCAAUUUCUUUCGGAAUUCCACCAGCAAUCCUGUUGUUUCCAAGUCUUAGCCUCACUAAUGAGCUACAAUAUCCAAUUUCUCGAGGUAUAGUACCCGAAAUAUCGUUAGAAAUCAACAGUAGCUUAGUAAGGUUUUUCAACUGAAACAAGCCUGGAGGAAUGCUACCAGUAAGUGAGUUAUGUGACAAGUCCAAUGCCUGAAGGUUACUACAACUACCCAAAGUUAAAGGCACACUUCCUUCAAGUUGAUUAUCCCAAGCAAAAAACACAACAAGACUAGUCAAAUUCCCUAACUCAGAAGGAAUCAAACCUGAUAUCUGAUUUGUGUCAAACUGCAACUGCACAAGACUUGUACAUUGUGAAAGAACAGAAGGGAUUGAACCAGAAACAUUGUUGUUACUAAGCAUAAGUUCUUGUAACACAACAAGACCACCAAAAGAUAAUGGUAUACUCCCAGACAAAUAGUUCAAAGACAAAUCAAUCAUAGUCAACUUAGUACAAUUCCCAAUCUCUUCUGGAAUAACACCAACAAGAUUAUUCUGCCAAAGAAGCAACUUUUCUAACUUUCUAAGGUUCCCUAGCUCAGAUGGGAUUGAACCAGAAAGACUAUUUUCAUACAAAUACAAGUUCACAAGCUCAGUACAGUUACCUAAAUCAGAAGGUAUCUCACCAGACAACAUUGUAGUAUAAAUAGACAAAGUUUCAAGAUUCUUAAGCUUACCCAAAGAAACAGGCAAAGAACCAGAUAUUCUUGUAUCAGCUAAGCCUAAAACAGUCAAAUUCCCACAAUCCCCAAACUCAUUUGGGAUUUUACCAGUAACAUCUUUAUUCCCACCAGCUCUUAACACUUCAAGAUUUGACAACAACCCUAUUUCACUUGGUAAACCACCACUAAGCCUGUUAUCAAAAAGAACAAGAUUUUUCAAGUUUCUACAGUUCCCAAUCUCAACUGGGAUUCUCCCAGUAAGCUGAUUUGAGUUCAAAAUCAAAUCUUGAAGGUUUACAAGGGUUCCAAUGCUUAAAGGAAUGGUACCCACAAGACCAUUUGAGCUCAAAUCAAUAGUAACAAGUGAAGAACAGUCACCAAUGUUAAAGGGUAUUGUACCAGUGAUGUUAGCAUCAGAAAUAACAAGCUUCUUCAGGUACUUAUAUGAAGAAAGAUUUGUAGGCAAAGGAAGUUCAAGAUGAAUAGACUGAAUAUUGAUUUCUGUAAUAAAACCUUGAAAGUUGCAUUUUAUGAAAGACCAUUUACAUGGGGUAUCAUCAAGAAUGUCCCAAUUUGAAAAUGGUGCAACAACAUCAGUAACAGCAGCAGAAGAAGAAGAAGAAGUGAAGAAAAGGGUAACCAAGAAAAGAAAAAAAUGGUAUUUUUUGUUGGGAUUUGAAGAAGAAGAAGACAUCUUUGCCUCAAAUUCCAAAAACUUCUUCUUGGGUUUGCAAUUGCAUAUCAAAAAACUAAGUAAAAAUCCCUUCUUUUUGGUUUCUUGGGUUUUGCUCUGUUUUUUUUCUCUCUGUGUAUUUUCUUGGUUUCUACUCAAACUCAAAGUUAUAAAAACUUGAAGUUUUUCUAUUGGUGAUAGUGCAAAACAACAACAUUAAAAUAACAUGUUAAAGGUGAAAAGAUAGAAGAUUAAUUAAACAAAGAAAGGCAAAAAAAAAAAGGUUAACAAAUAAACCAAGCAAGGAAUACAUUGAGAUUGGCAAUUCUCUUAUGCACCUCCACCAUCUUCCCCUAGGAUCCCUACAACUCCCACCACCCUCCUUGAUAUAUUAGCACUCAGCAGGGCUCAGUGACAGAGUCAGAAUUUUUAUGAACAAGUCAAAAAGGAUAUUUAGCGGGCUCAGCGGCGGAGUCAAAAUUUUCAUGAACAAGUUGAAAAGGGUUUGAUAUGUAGUAUAUAUAGAUAAAAAUCAUUUUACUUGACCAUAAGUUGACUCCGGUCCUUUUACGCUAUCACGUUUUACUUGUCUGAUUUUAACUAUGGUUUAACCAUUUGGAUGAAAUUCUUUCCUUUUAUAUAAGUAUAUAUUUGUGUUUAAUAUAACUUUACUUUCAUGCGCGGAUUUAGAAUUUAGACAGAGUUUAGAUACUAUGAAAUUGAAAAGGAAAUUAUAAUUAAUGAAGUAAAUAUGAUGGUAAAUUGUUUUUUAAUGGUAAUUAUGUAAUUGUAAUCUAAUUAAUAAAAAAUAUCAUUGUAGCCCAACAAUUAUAAAUUGUAUAUAAGGAUGUGAUAUUGUAAAUAUUAAAUAACAAAAAAGAAAGAAAGAAAUUACCUCAAAAACUUAUCUUUAUUUUAUGAUAGUGAGUUAAUAGAUAAUAAUAGUUAAAUUCAUAAUCGCUAUUAAAAUACUAUACAAAAAUUAUUAAAUUCAGGUGAACAUAUAAAUAAAGUCAUGCUUAGAGGGGAAAGAGGCAACACAGCUGGAGUUUGAUAGUAAAACACAAGAGAGUGAGAGAGCAGUUAGCUCCAAAACCAAGUAAGUGUUUGUAUGUAAUAUUUUACAUUAUUUAUUUAUAUAUGAUAAAGUAGUGAGUUCGAUGUUCAUAUUAAAAGUUGAACUAAUUUGUAUUCAUGUGUUGUAGGGUCUUAUGCAUGUUUUGAAGUAACGCUUUCAACAUACUUAACAUUUUUAUAAUCAAAUCUUGAAUAAAAAAUGUCUAAUAAAGAAUGAAGAAAUUUCGAUCAUCUCACGAUAAUUUAUAUUGGUAUUCUAGGCUUGAUAGUUGAUAUUAUCACGAUCCCCUCACUAUUAUGGUGUAUACUUGGCUUUUCACAUGUUCCCAAUUAUUUCUUGUCAUCUCAAAAAUUUGAUUUCGUCAUUUUAUUUUUAUAAUAAAUCUUCAAUUUAAUUAACCUUAUGUCAUUGCUGAGCAACAACAAAAAACAUUGUAAUUUUAUUGUUUUGUUUUCUGUUUAUUUACGUAAAAAAAUAACAUUAUUGGAUUAAAUAUCUUAAAAUUGAAGCAAUGGGUGGGAAAAUAUUACUAGGACUCAAGAACCCAUGCCAUGUUCUAAUCAUAAUGUAUUUUGUUUACAUGUUAGUGAAAUGGUCAGCAUGCUUCUGAACUAUGACGUACUACAUAUUCAAUAGCCGAUCGAGGAGUGAAAUGGACGGGUUAAAUUGAAUUUAAAUAAGUUACGAAUUUGUUUAAAAGAAGUUUAUAAAGUCAAUAGCGACAUUAGAUUCGAUGACAAUUAACUAAUGUUGUGUAUAUUUAUUAAGGCUAAAAAUUAUUUUUAUCAUAGCGCAUUCGGAUAAAUUCACAAAUUAUCACUUUUUUUCCUUCAUAUUUUUCCAUUGUUUAUGUAAUUUAAUUUAAUGAACAUGAGAACUAAUCAUAAACAUGUAAUAUCAUGCGUAUAUAAGCGUGACAUCUUUGGAUAACAUAUAUUAUUUUCUCAAGUUAUUACAUCAACUAAUAAUUAAUUAAAAAUUAAGAUUUGUUUACCCUAACUCGUAUUUAAAUUAUUUAUUAAACCUUAGUUAGCGCGUAAAAUCAUGUAUGUGUUUGUAAGUUAUUGGGGUAAUAAGUACUAUUCCUAAGUUUAUUUUACCACACAUAACGUUGGAGCAUAUAUCGAUAUUAGCAAAAUUUUGCUUCAAGAUCCAAUGUAAAUUGUGUUUUAAUUAUGUAUUAGGAAACAAAAUCUUGCCAUAACUAUUUCAAAAUUAUGUUUAAUUAAUAUUAGGGAAUCCUAUUUGUUUAUUUAUUGUUAAUGGUUAAAAGUCUGCAGUGUCAUAUCAAUUAAAUUAUUAUAUAGUUAAAAAAAAAAACUAAAUUAUGGGAGUCACAAGGAUGGAAUAUUUAAUAAAGUUAUUUGACACUAAUUAUUGCAUCUUUCUUUUUUACUAUAUUCUCCAUUAAUUAAUUCCAUUUUAUUUUGUUGCUCCCAAGGAUUGUACAGUAUUGGUGUUCACCACCAUACAUCAAAACCAAAUGAUAUUGAAAGAAAAAAUCAACAUUUCUUUUGUUUGAUUUGGGUUAUAGUUUUAAUUUUAUUUUUUUAAAAAAGGGGCAAAAUUAUGUUUAAUUUCGGUUUUAAGCAAAAAAUGUGUGAAUAUAAAGGAACCUUAAUAAUUUAAUUAAUUGACUAUCUUCAUUUUCAUCUUAUUAAUGAAAGUUUCAUUUUCCACUUGAUAAUGAUUUUUUUCUUAUUUUUCCUUCCCUUCUCAUUUCUCCCCAUAUAGAAUUUAAUGUUUCCUUUAUUUUAAUUUAUUUGUUUACUUUCCUUUUUAGAGUCGGCUGGAAUUGACUUUUGACUUAUUACUAAUAAGUUAAAAGUCAUAAAUUAGAAUUUAAUGUUCCAUCCGUUUCAAUUUAUUUUACUUAAUUUCUACUAAUUUAUUUAUUAUCAAACAAAACUAACAAAAAGUUUCUCCAUCUUGGCUAUAUAACUUUAUCAAGGAAAAAAAGGUCAAUAUAUUUUUUUUAUAAAAUUAAUUUGAAUUACACAUUUAGUUCAAACUAUCUUAAGUUCUUAACACUUAGAUAAGCUAAUCUGAACCUAUCGGAAUAAACUAAUUUAAUAAUUAAUGGACUCAAUAUAUCAUAUUUUUAUAGGUUAAUUUUAUCGCUUGGAGCAAAACAAUCAAUACUGGUAAUACUUUCCUCAAAUUUAGCUAACAAUGAUUAUCCAAAAAAAGAUGAAAUUUAGGUAAAGGACAUAGAGAACUUAUAAGAUCCACCCACACGUACAUGUUGAUUGUGAUUACGUAGACCAAAGUGAAAAUCAAAUCUAAAGAGUGGGACCUAUAUAUGUAGGGUCCAUUAGCCUCCUAAAAUGAACAUCAAAAGUAGAAAAUUAAAAAAAAAACGUUUGAAAAAAUAAAUGGAGAGGAGUAAAAACAAAAGUAGAAUGAAAAUGAUCGAGUUGAUGUAACAUGUGAUAUUUUAUAAGAAAAGCUAGAGAUCAAUUUUUAUCUUUUAAUAUUUUAUAAAUUGAGUUCAUUGCAUCAUAUUUAUUUAAUGUGUUUUACGCUAUUAUACAUAAGUGAAUUUAUCAAAUGCACACCUGAAAAAGAAUAUUGAUUUCCCGAGUACUUUUCCUAGGGUUUUUUUUUUUAAUUUAAAAAGGUGGUCAUAGACAAUGGCGAAAUCAGAUUUUCAACAAGGAGAUUCAGGAAAUAAAAAUAUCGUACUUGGAAUUUAAAUUUGGAAGUUUAAAUUGAAUUUUGAACCCUAUAAACAACAAAUUCAACUUUUAAUCUUAUGUUCAACCGAUUCAAAAUCUCUCUCUCUAUAUAUAACUAAAAUUUUAAAAAAUACCUCAUAUAUAUAUUCAAUAUACUAAUUUUUUAUCGAGUAAACAUCCUCGCCCCUUCUAGAUCCCCCUGACCAUAGAGUUGUUAUCACUUAUCACUAGUGAAAUAUAAAAAUAGAAAGAGAACAAAUAAAAAAUUGUAAGUAAGUGGAAUUUAGUAGGAAUAAUGAUAGCUUUUGGCAAACAAAAUUCCAGAUUUUGAGGGUACUUCACGUGAGCUUAACAAUCUCACCAAUUUUAUUUUAUGUCCACUAAUUGCUUCAACAUACCAAAUCCCCCUUGCAAUUUUCUUGUUAUUUUAUUGGUUAGAGUUGGACUAUAUAUUUUAUUUUAAAAAGUAUAGUAUAUAUGAAAUGCUUCUUCUUUUUUCGUUUAUUUAUUUCAUAUUAGAAACUUGUCUAUAAGUAUUUGACUUGUCUUUUCUUAUUUAAUUGGGGUUGGGGGGGGGGGGGUUUAUCUGGGAUUUAUGAUGGAAAAAGUUGUAAUCUGGGUAUGGGGAUCAAGAGUUUGACCUAGGGUUGAUGUUAUUGAUUAUAAUCCGGGUAAUUAGGUCUUGUUUAUUGAUCCUCGCAUUAUAUUGAUUNNNNNNNNNNNNNNNNNNNNNNNNNNNNNNNNNNNNNNNNNNNNNNNNNNNNNNNNNNNNNNNNNNNNNNNNNNNNNNNNNNNNNNNNNNNNNNNNNNNNNNNNNNNNNNNNNNNNNNNNNNNNNNNNNNNNNNNNNNNNNNNNNNNNNNNNNNNNNNNNNNNNNNNNNNNNNNNNNNNNNNNNNNNNNNNNNNNNNNNNNNNNNNNNNNNNNNNNNNNNNNNNNNNNNNNNNNNNNNNNNNNNNNNNNNNNNNNNNNNNNNNNNNNNNNNNNNNNNNNNNNNNNNNNNNNNNNNNNNNNNNNNNNNNNNNNNNNNNNNNNNNNNNNNNNNNNNNNNNNNNNNNNNNNNNNNNNNNNNNNNNNNNNNNNNNNNNNNNNNNNNNNNNNNNNNNNNNNNNNNNNNNNNNNNNNNNNNNNNNNNNNNNNNNNNNNNNNNNNNNNNNNNNNNNNNNNNNNNNNNNNNNNNNNNNNNNNNNNNNNNNNNNNNNNNNNNNNNNNNNNNNNNNNNNNNNNNNNNNNNNNNNNNNNNNNNNNNNNNNNNNNNNNNNNNNNNNNNNNNNNNNNNNNNNNNNNNNNNNNNNNNNNNNNNNNNNNNNNNNNNNNNNNNNNNNNNNNNNNNNNNNNNNNNNNNNNNNNNNNNNNNNNNNNNNNNNNNNNNNNNNNNNNNNNNNNNNNNNNNNNNNNNNNNNNNNNNUUUAGUGGGGAGGGGGGGGGGGGGGGUUAUAAUUUGAAUUUAUAGGCAAUUUAAGAAAUAAAUAAAUAAAACUUAAAAGUUUGUGGACUUAAUUAUUCCAUAGCUUUUGUAUGCUAAAAGUUUUUUGACCUUGUAAUAUUUAUAUAGUUAAUAAAAAAUUUCGUGUAAAAUGAGAAGUAUUGGAUUAAGUGUUUUCGAAUUAAAAAGUGUAUAAUUUUUUUUCACAUAAUAAAUUGAAAUGUACAAAAUAAUUAUUUUGAUCGUAUAUAAGUCUAAACCUCAAACUAUAUAAUUCAAUAACUAUCAGAGAUUGUUAAUAAUCUUAUUAUAUAUAACGCUCGAUUCCUUUAGUAAAUCUAAUUAUGCGAGUUUUACACACAAAAGGUAUAAAUUAUAUUUUCACCACUCCCCUCGACCACCUCCGCUCAUUUCCCAAUUGUAAUAAACCCCUUUUCAACAUACAUAAACUUGACCUCUUUUAGCUGAUCUAUCGAUGAAAAUUUGAAUUAAUCGAAUGAUAUAUUUCAAACAUAGUAUGCCUAAAGGGGAAAAGGAUAAAUUUCACAAAUAAUAACUUUUAGGUAGUAUUAUUUUUUUUUAAAUAAUUAUUAUCAUGAUUUAUUUUUUCUACUACAUAGUAUUCUUGGUCCAUAAAUAAAAGGUUUUGGACAAUAAGGUCCAAAAAAGAUAAAGAUAAACGGCGCUGCAAAGAAGAACCUACUUCCCUAAAAUAAGGGUAUUUGUGGCCUUGGAAAACUAAAACUCUCCCUAUUGGAAUCUUUACACGUUUUGCUAUGUCUAAGUGUCAACUAAAACCCCUAUACUCAUUCACACUUUGGCUUAUAAAAAAGGGACAAUGAGUAUUAUAUAUUCUUUGUUAUUAUAUAAUAAUAAAAAUAUAAGACACCAAUCAAUUCGAUGGUCACUGAGUUGGUUGAAUAAGACAUUUUCCAAAUGGGGGCAUCUUGAGUUUGAUAUUAUCUUCGAUGGUCGUUGAGUUGAUACUUGGUUGAAUAAGAGACAUAUUUCAAAUAAAGCAUUUUGAGUUUGAUAUUACUUGCAUGUAUUUUUCGAUCGAAUUUUGUGGACUAUUACACAAAAGUAAGGUUUGUUUAGAAGGAUAGCAUUGUAAGUUAAUAUUGUACAAGGCAAUAAAGAUAUAGUUAAGACUUACGAAGCUCCCGUAAACUCUUGUAAGUUGUUUGUUUGAUUUGCAAGCUUCUUCAAAAAGCUAUAAGAGUACUUAAAAGAGAUAUUCAUAAUAUAAUAUAUUUAUAACAAUUCUCAUAUUAUAUUUUUCAUAAAUUGUAUUGUUCAUAAAAUGAGAUUCUCCUCCCUUUUAUUUAUGGGUUUGGAGGUCAAUAUAAGUGUAAAGCUCAAGUAAAUUGGAUUGGGCAUGAUAUAUAUAUAGAGAGCUCAUAUAUCGAUCAAACUAAUAAAAACUUCAUUAAAUACAUAUUAAUAUUUUCUGGUAAAUUAAGAAUAGUAUAUACUUAUCUUAUUAAUAGAUAGAAAUAAGAGAUUUUUCCUAAUCGUAAGACUUGAAUAUUUAGAAAUUUAAAUUUCAUAUAAAGUGUGAUCAACAUUAACAAUAAUUAACCAAAAGAAGGGUAGAAGAAACUUUAGAAUGUGAGAAAAAUAACAAGAGGUGAUGAAAGUUAUUGGGUAAAAUUAAUUGUUGUCAUGUGCAAGGUAGAUAGACGUAUAGACAUUAAUAAAAAAUAUUAGACUAAAUUAAAUUAGCUAAGUAUUAAUUAGUUAAUUAAUUUUUUGACUCAAGUCUUCAUAUAGAUAUUGUUAAAAAAAAACUUUGAACAUUGGUCUGCGGUAUUGAUUCUUUUCUUCAAUUAUUAGGAAAACAAAAGAAAGGCAUAUUCAUAAAUAAAAUAAAAUUAUAGUAUUAAAUAUGGAUUAGGGGUAAGUCACAUGAUUAUUAUGACAAAUCAUGUGACUUCCAUUUUUCUUUUUUCUUUUUAACACUUUAUUUGAGAAUAAUCAUCCAGUCAACUACAUAUUUGGGCUAGUUUUUGGACCUUAUUAUAUAAUCUAAACAAAGAAAUGGGCCUCGAAUUAAUCCUACGAAAAAAAACAUUUCUCAUUUUCUUCAAAAAUAAAAAUAAAAAUAAAAAUUGUUCGAUUUAGUAUAAGAUUUUAUUUUUAUUUCUUUUACAAUUUAUGAAAUUUCUCGUUCAUGUCUGAAAGAUCUAUUUUGAACAAAUCGAAAGUCAUAUGAGAAAAUGUUAAAUAAUGGUCUAAGCUUUUGUAAGUUAUUACAUGAAUAUUUUUAAAAUUUUAUCGUGCUUCAUGUUUGUUCUAGACGAUAAAAAUUCUCCUUAGAUAAUUAAUGAAAUUGAUCAAAACUCCUCUCGUUAUAAAUGAUAUUCAUAACAUCAGUAAAUAUAUAUGUUCUAUCAACGAUUUGAAGUUUAUUAUUUAUUUUCUAUUUCUCAUGAGUAAAUAAUUCAUGAAUUUUUUUCCCACAUCGUCAAGGAACAUCUAUUUUCAUUCAUAUAUUAAAGAACUAUGAGACAAUAUUAAUCGCCGAGCUCAGUAACUUUGGCUUGUAACCCAACUGGGGGCAAUAAUGUGGUGGAAUAUUGGGCUAUUCCAGAAAGGUUGGGCCUGGUGGGCUUAUAUCUGGCCUGCCCUGUCCAAGUACAGAGUUGGGCCUUGUGGUCCAAUCGAAGGAAUGGGCUGCUGGGCUCUUAAAGUGGAGCAGACUGCGUGAGGCUGGUUUCACAGAGCAACGAAUAGUUUCCGCUCUGUGCAGUGGAAGGAUAACGGGCCGGUGCCGGCCAAACCCAACAAAAGCCUGAUGGGUUGCUUCGAUUAAACCACCAUUUUUUGUUAUUUUUUAGGUUAAAGAAGCACGUAAAAUGAUAUUCGAAUUAAAUCAACUAUUUGACACUUGGGUAAUUUCAAAUUAUAUAGUUUUAAUAUGAUGUUCAUAGGACUAACAUAAUGUUGUGAAUUGUGAUUACUCGCUGGUUUCACGAGCAACGAAUAGUUUCCGCUCUGUGCAGUGAAAGGAUAACAUGUCGAUACCGGCCAAACCCAACAAGAGCCUGAUGGGUUGCUUCAAUUAAACCACCACUUUUUGUUUUUUUUUUUUUGGUUAAAGAAGCACAUAAAAUGAUAUUCUAAUUAAAUCAAUUAUUUAACACUUGAAUAAUUUCAAGUUAUAUAGUUUAAUAUGAUGUUCACAAAAGGACUAACAUAAUGUUGUGAAUUGUGAUUACUCGCUGAUUUCACUGAGCAACGAAUAGUUUCCGCUCUGUGCAGUGGAAGGAUAACGGGGCGAUACCGACCAAACCCAACAAGAGCCUGAUGGGUUGUAUCUAGGGGUGUCAAAUGGACGGGUUGGGUUGAAAUAGAAAUCGGGUUGAGUCUUGACCCGCCCAAGUUUACAUUGGGCUCAAAUGGGCUAAAAAUUGGUUGGGUCUUGACCCACCCAAUUUGACCCGAUUAAUCUGAAUAAUUUUAACAUAGUGAUAUUUAACUUUUAUAAUCACCAUUCGAAUUUCAGCUAAAGAUUUUUUUAAAAAAAAGUAAUAAAUGGAUAGAUAAAUCCUAAAAGAUGUUAAAUAUGUAAUAAUUUAUACCUUUAAUAUAGGAACAUAUCUUAGUAAAUAGUUUUAAAACGGGUUGAAAUUGGAGAUUGAAUUGGGCUCAAUUGAGAGGAUUAUCUUAAAAUGAGUUAGGCUUGAAUGGAUUGAGAUUGAAGCCAAUUCAAAUUAUCUUGAGCCCAACCCUUAAAAUUCUGGGCGAAUUGGACGGGUUAUCUAUGUUUGAAUUCAUUUUUGACACCCCUAGUUGCUUCAAUUAAACCACUACUUAUUGUUAUUUUUUUUUUAUUAAAGAAGCACAUAAAAUGAUAUUCUAAUUAAAUCAACUAUUAUUGACACUUGGAUAAUUUCAAAUUAUAUAGUUUUAAUAUGAUGUUCACAAAAGGACUAAACACACAUUUGUUACGUAAAAAUAUCCUUUUAUAAUCCACUUAUAACUUGAAUAAAAAACCUGAUUUUUUAAAUUAUCUUUAAAAUAUACAUAAGAUUAAAAAUAAAUUCGUUAAAAGUUACAAAUUCAAUACUACUAAGAUAAGUAGGAAACAAUUUGAAACGAUGGACUUUUUUAUUAAAAAAAAAUAUCAACUAGAAAUUUAAGUUUGAGGAUCAACAAAUUUAUCGCUAAUCAAAUAUGUCCAAAAAUUACAAUAUUUAUUUUGUGAUAAUAUCUUUCAAAUAUUUAUUUCUUUGUCGAUUCAAUUUUGUAUGAUUAUAUUUUCUUUCUUUAACUUUUAUAACUUUCAAUAAUUCAAAUUUAUUAUAUUUUCUAAAUUUUUGAUAUGAUAUUUCUCCAUCAAAUUAUUAUUUAAUUAUACUAUAAAUAAAUAUUAAUUAAGAAAAAGGUUUAUACUAAUACUUAUUUUUAAUUGAAGUUGCUAGCACAAAAACUCAUAGACCAUAAAUCUCCCUCCUUCGACUGAGCAAUUUUUUUUCCGGCGAGAAAGGGAUAAUGGCGGCGGCGGCGAGGACGGUGGGUUCUGGGGUGGUGUUGCCGCGGUCAGUGACGUUUGUUACCGGAAAUGCUAAAAAGUUGGAGGAAGUUAGGGCAAUUCUUGGCCAGUCUAUUCCCUUUCAGUCCCUUAAGCUUGACUGUAAGUUCACAGUGUUUUUGAUUUCAUAUAUGUAACUUGAGCUUAAUUUCAAUGAUUUCUGCUAAAAAAUUGAACCCCUUUAUGUCAAAAUUUGAUCUUAGUGCCAGAACUUCAAGGUGAGCCUGAAGAUAUAUCAAAAGAAAAAGCAAGAAUUGCUGCUAAAGAGGUAGUGUACCCUGGCUUUAUUGCAUAUAUUGUAUAUGCAUAUAUGUGUGUGUAUUGCUAGUUUGUAUGCAAUAGCGAAAGCCGAAAGCAGGUAGUUCAUGUAGGUGCUAAUUCUCCCUUUGUUAGAUUUUAGUUGAAUCCAUGUCUGCCAAAGUUAUAGUGGUUAAUACUCUAGAGCAUCCAUUUCAAUGAUCCUUUCAACUAAGUACUAUAGAGGAUGUUUGGAUUUGCUUCUUUUAGGUGCUUUUUAAGCCAAAAUAGCUUUUAAGCACUUAUUCCUAAUUUAUAAGUCAUAAGCUAUAAGCACUUAUUCCCAACUUAUGAGUGUGUAUUGUCUGUUUGUAUGCAAUAGCAAAAGCAGAUAUUUCAUGUAGGUGCCAAUUCCCCUUUUAUUAGAUUUUAGUUGAAUCCGUGUCUACCAACUUUGGUAUAGUACUUCAAGUUCUUAUCUUGUGUAUAAUGUUAAUCUGUUAGAGUAUCCAUUCGAAUGAACCUUUCAACCAAGCACUAUAAGUAGUCCACUCCUAAGGUUUUUUUGGGGAUAAAAGUGGAGCACCUUGAAUAUUCCACCAGGUACGUGCGACCUCCAACCAGCAAAGCCGCGUGGUAGUUUUGCCUACCACUCUAAGGUUAAUCAAUAAAUUCUGGUUUCUUUAGGUUAAUUUCUGAAGGAUUUUGUCGUCAUAUUGUUCCUGCUUCAACUUUAGACUAAGGUUUUAUUGCGAUAUUGAACCCUUAUGGUAUCUUGUAUUCAUUUUCACCUGAGCAUUUGCAAUGUCUUGAUAUUUUAAUAUGAGACAAGUGAUAUAAUGCUAACAUCUUGAUAUUUAAUAGUAUGAUGCUAAAUACAGAACCACCACUCAUUGAGAUAUGAACACUUGUUUAUUUUAUAAUUGUCCUCUUGUAGUUUUUUUCUCCCCAUCUAUGAGAGAUAGAUUUUAAAUUCACUGUUUGUGAUCGUUGGGAAAUUGACUGAGUUGGAAAAAUUCUCAGGUGAAUGGACCAGUGCUAGUUGAGGAUACUUGUCUUUGUUUCAACGCCCUUAAGGGUCUCCCAGGUACUCAACAAACUUAUGUACAUGCUUCAAUAUCAGUAUAUGUGCUUUUAUUUGAGUUGUGACAAUGAACUAAGGUGCUGAGUUUUUUUGUUGUUGCAGGGCCUUACAUGUAAGUUCAUCUUCUCUUUUAUCAUUCUGCUCUUGAGUUAAGUGUUUUUUCUUCUUUUUAUACUUUUGUAUAAUAUCCGUUAUGAUAUUUAGAGUUAUAUUCUUUUUAUAUUCUUGUUAUAAACCAUUGUGCCGUUUCUUCAAUAUGAGGCCUAUAGCUCUCAAUUUGUCUCUGUUCACAGAUGAAUUGAACUAAUAAACUUCAAUGUGUGUGAAAUAUUUGGUUUGUUUAUAGCGAUAAGUUGUUUCAGUCAAUUAGACAUCUGUUAGUACUUACAAGCUACUUCCUUACUUGAGGCAUGUGGUUUAUAAAGUUCAGUGUUCUCAGAAUUAUAAGUUGUGCUUGGUAUGCUUUAAGAUACUUUUUAACAACAAAUAUCUCCCUUGAUGAAACCAUUUUAUACUGUUUGAUCGUGUUAAAUUGUUGAUGAUGUUUUGCUUGAUGAAACCAUUUUCUACUGUUUGGUUGUGUUAAAUUGUUGAUAAUGUUUUGCGAUGGAUUUUUUUACACCAAAUAGGGAAAAUUGACUUACAUUGAUGUGUGUGAGUCAUUACAAUUGUUAACUCUUGUUCAAUACUUCAACUUGCUUCAACCAAAUGACCAAUAGUCCAAUUUCAGUGUUUACUUAGUGCCCGUUUGGAUUGACUUAUUUGAGGUGUUUUACAGCCAAAAUAGCUUUCAAGUAGUUUUGAAGUGUUUGGGUAAAGUUAAAAAAUGCUUAUAAGCACUUAUUUUAAAGCCAAAGCCAUAAGUUAGAAAUCCUAUAAGUCAUAAGCCAAAAGCCAAUCCAAACAGGUAGAAACUAUUUUCUUAGAUCAAUUUUUGUCCAACAAGGAGUGCUUGUUGGAUGAACUUAAACUGCAUAACUGAGGAGGACAAUAAAUUUGUUAUAAUUUCUAGUCGCUGUUUAAUGGGCAGAAUCUUGUUUUAAUAGGACUUCCCAGAUUAUUUCUUUCCUGUACUAAAUAAUAUUUGGAGUUUAGGUAACCUUUCACAUUGAAAUUGGUUAUGGACAGUGUCUGGCACGCGAAAUUGUGGAACUUACCUUUGAGAAUGUACCCUGCUCAUAUCAUUUACCUAGACGGAUAACUUUUUUCCUGCACUUUUUAUACUAUCCUGAUAAUGUAAACAUGCCAUGAGAGACACUUCUACUCUAAAGAGUUUCUCUUUUAUCUCCAAUUCUUUUAAUCCUUAUUUUACUACUUAAUAAAAGUUAAAACCUUACAUUAAUACUUUAGGUCAGUCGCUUAAAAUGGAGAGAAUGUUGGACAUUAACGAAUUGAGGUGAAUUUAUAAGAGGUUGGAAUUCUUUCCAAAGAUUUGACUUACCUUCUUGGAUCAUAUUCAAUCUAAAUUUUAAUAAAAUGCUCUGCCUAACUCCCUUUUGAUGGACAUGCCAAAUUUUUGUAAUGUUUGUUUAUGUUGUUAUUUUCCAAUUCUUAUUAACUAUUCUCUUUUGCCAUUGACAUAAUAUGCUUUGUAAUUGUUGCUUUAUGUCUGGGAUUGCUUGCCAUAUUACGUUCUGCAGCAAGUGGUUUUUGCAGAAGAUCAGUCAUGAAGGUAAUUGAAGCUUGCUUUUCCUCAUAUACAAUUGCGUUGAACUUAAUUUUUGGUGUUCUCCUUUUCUGUUAAAUCACUCUAUUUUUCUGUUCUGCUUUUAAAUUUUUUCCGGACAUUUUCUAGGUCUCAACAACUUAUUGAUGGCUUAUGAGGAUAAAACAGCAUAUGCCAUGUGUAUCUUUUCACUUGCUCUUGGGCCAAAUACAGAGCCAAUGACUUUUGUAGGGAAGACACUGGUAAGUAUUUGCUUCUGUAAUCCAUGAAUUCUUCCUUUAGAUUUUGUGGUCAAUUUUUCCAUUAUUAUUUCUGCUGAUCAGGGCUAUGUUUCAAACUAGAAUGGUCCUCGGUGGUUAUUUCGUUUUAUGUUAAGUACCAGAGGUCUGGUUAUUUCUUUAUUGAUGAAGAGAAAUGGAAAGUAGUUCCUAUAUUUCUUACAAUGGUGCUUCUUUUUCUGUUAGCGCCACCAUAAAAUCAACACAUCAGUUUUCACUCAACUAAGAGAACUCCAGAGAUAUACGAUAUUCUUCGUGAAAGUGGUUUUACCUUCUCUUGAUUUUUUGAUGAUAAAUAGUCCUAGGAGAUAGGCAUGUCUAUAAGCUCUCAAUUUUUGAGCUUCCAGUGAAUUUCUUGCAAUGUUAUCGCUAUUUACAUACUUUGGAGUAUAAUCCGAAAAUUCCCUGUAUUAACAUCCUUAUAAGACUAUUUUGGAUCCUAUCCUUAAAUGAGGAACUCAUGAAACUUUAUAGAUUUUUCGCUUAAUGUUUCUUUGUUGAACUAUGUGAACAAUAGAACUAACAUUGCGAACAUGGCUCUUCAGGGAAGGAUAGUACCAGCUAGGGGACCCAAUGAUUUCGGAUGGGAUCCAAUAUUUCAACCUCAUGGCUAUGACCAGACGUAAAUCCUUCCCCCUUGAAUGUUUUCCUAUUGAACGUAAGAACAUCUGAUAUGAAGAGAGUACUAACUUAUAGAACUGUGUUGCAGUUACGCUGAGAUGCCCAAGGAAGAAAAGAACAAGAUUUCUCACCGGGGUAAAGCUCUUGAACUAGUGAAGUUACACUUUGCUGAGGCUCGAUACACUUUCCAGACUGACUCCACUACCCAAAACUAGGAUGUAUGCCUCGGUAGUGACAUAAUCUUCGCGUUCUUGCUCAAGAGCUAUGAUUGAUGACAAUGUAAGCUUCUUUUAUUCUCCUAGAUAAAAUAUCGUGAAGGAUGAGAUACGUGAAAUUUUGAAACUUAUGAUUAUUGCUAGUAGAUUUUAUGAUCUAGCACAACUUCUCUUUUUAUUUUAAGUUUCAUUUGGUAUGGGGGUAGGCUCAGGAACAUGAAUAUUUGAUAUAACUCAAUCCCCAUAUGAGGUUGAUAACCAACAUGUUGAUACUCUAAUAUUCUCCCUUGCAACGUUCAGGACUGGGCAUCUGGAGUGAACAUUGAGUAAACCAUGAACGGAUCUGACUUGAUACGAUCUUAGGAAAUUGUAUCUGACAUAUAACUCAACUUAAAAGCUAGCUUACGAGGUUGGAAAUCAUCCUAGAUCAUGUUCUCUAGAUCAUGACCUUUCUUAUCAUAGCUAGAAAGAGUAGUGUUUAAGAAACUAAAGGCAAACUAUAAUUAAAACAAUUGGUACCAUAUUGUACAAAAGUUGAAAGGCAUCCAAGGUUACAAGAUGAAAAUGAUUAGUUGUGUAAUCAAUUAUGAUAAUUACUUAUCAUUUUGCUCUCAGGCUAGAAUAGACUCACCAGCAUAAUCAUUGUGGUUUGCCAAAUUUGAUCUCGUCUAUUUUCUAAUAUCAAUAAAUAUUGCCUUUCAUCAUAAAAAGGAUGGGUACUAAUUAUACCACUUUGAACUCAAAUCAAUCAAUUGUACCACAUAUUCUUGAUCUACUUAGCAAUUUAGUAUAAAGAGGAAAGUUUCAUAUUUAUUCAUGAAGCAAUUAAGCAUGUGAUUAGGAAAGUACAUGGAGAAUAUCCUUUUAAAAAUCUACUUUAUAUUUUACAUACACGGUACGCUUGUCUGGGCUUGCUCACAUUGCUGGUCAAGUUCAGAUAAAUAAGAGGGUUUGCAAUAGUCUGAAAACCAACACAAAACUUGUCAAUUCAUGAUAAAUUCUCAUCGGUUUAUAAAGGGAGAAGUAUGCAUAAAAAGUGUUUGGGACUCAAUAAUCAUAAUUAACAUGAGCAAACAUGGAUUUAAAUUGGGUUGUGUAAUUGUAUCGAAUGUGACAACUCCAAAUUAGGGCUUUAUAACUUUUUAUGUUUUUCAAUCUACAUAUAACAUGUAACAUGGGUAUACAUGUGGUAAGUUGGUCAUCUCAUUAAGAAUAAUAUUGAAAGACACCCACCCUUCUUUCAAACACUACAAAAGCUAUGUUUUCAAUUGGGGCAAAAUUAAAGAAUAGGUCACAUGCCCUAUGGGGUCCAUCCUCACAUGCAUAUCUUAAUUCCUUUCUUCCCCCCAUAAUGUGAAAUUGAGACUCUUGAGCUUAUUGUCCUAUCAAGUCAAUGGAGCAAUAUGUUAGGUGCACCAUCUAUAUUCACUUAUGUUCCUUUCACACAACAAUUGAAAGCUGUUUUCCUUUUUUCUAAUUUUAUCGAAUUAUAUUGGACUGAGAUGAGCUUGAAUAGAGCAACACAUACAUAAUAAGAGUAAAUAUUCAUAUAGGCGAUCCUAAUUUAUAGUUAUUCGAUAUAACGAUACCACUUUCUUGAGAGAUACUAUAUUUAAUUUUAUCCAAAAUGACACAUCAUCAUCUCUCCAACUAUCUGGUGAUUUGCCAAAAUUAUAGAGAAUUAAGAAAAGUAACCCCAUGUGACAGAAUAUUUUUCAUCAUUAAAUAUUAGAUUAUGCUUAAGUGGAGUGUUUAACAGUAUUUCAUUACUUCAAAAGACAUACUCAUUAGUCAUUACUAAAGUUAGUUUUACACUCUUUAGCAAUCUUUAAGCACAUGCUACCACCAUUAUGGCAACUACCAGGAGGAUGAAAUUGAAAAGCAAAAAUUGAACAAGUGUAAUUGAUAUCAAAUUAUAGUAUAUGAUAAUUAACACAAAAAAUAGAAGGCAAAACCAAGAUGAUAUUAAUGUUUGCAUUGACAAUGACAAAGCAAGAAAGUAAAAGGUAAUAUAUAAAGGUAGUAAGUAACUUUGCAUCAUUUCAAACAGAAAGGUUCUUCUUUACUUUCCCUUCCAAUAACAUUUUUCUUGACAAUUCACACUAUAUAGCUUGUAUGACUCAAAAAAGCUAAGAAAAAACUUACAAAAUCAUUCACUCCUAUAGUAAUAAAAAAGGCAAAAAAACACAAUAGCCAAAGCACAAUAUAGCAGACUAAAAAGAUUCACAGCAUCACAAAGAUAGAAUGGGGGUGGUGGUUAGAAGAAACCAAUGGAUGAGGAAGAUGAGCACUCUUGAGAUCGAAAAAAAAAUAACAAGAAAAUGGGCAUGGACAACGCUUCUGCACCUGCUUCAAGAACAGACAUUGGCUUUUCUUGAAUUGAAAUCAGGCCGAGGUUGCACAACGCUUUGAGAUAGGAACUGAAGAAUUGACAGUGUAAAAAAUGUACACUUGCCAAGAGGAAUGGACUGAUUGACAAACAAUGGGAUAUAACUUUGAUUUGGGAGGACUAUAGAGUAGUGCUUUUUAGUAGUAAGAAUGGAAAUCUAACAGUGGAAUAAGGAAAAAGGGACACUUUCUUUUGGUAAAUCUGUAUAAAUGAUAGAGUAGAGUGAAGCUGGCUGUACUAGCAAGUGCUGCUUCUACGACAGGCAAGGGGACCAGCACUUGAAGUAAUGGCACCGACCAUCGAAGAGGACUUGGCACCUAAGCUUGAAGCUCUUGCGUAGCUUGCUGAAGCUCCAGCACCUGAUGGAGUGAAAUAGGCACCAUUAAGCAUCAAGUCUCCUGAUGAUCUCCAGUUCCAGCCCUUCCAUUGACCUGUUGCUGUGUCUACCCUUUUUGUUACCUGUGUUUCAAUUGAUUUCUGUUAAUUCACUACAUUAUGAAGUAGCAAUCAUCUACAGUUUUUGGCUUUUAAAUUACCUCCUUCGCAAAACGAUUAGUUGGGGCGAGGUAUCUGUUUCCUUGGCUGUUGAUGGUGGGGUUAGCACUUCCACCGAUAGCAUACAUCUCCCAGUGAGUGUAGUCAUUGUUCACUACAUGGAAGUAGCCAUGUCUGCACCUGCAUUUUUUUUAAUAAACCCUCAACAUCAAUACACUUACUUCUGAUCUUUUGUUUGACAAGUAAUGAUAGUUAUAUAGUCAAUUCCAACUUGUUCGGAUUUUUAAGUCCAAGAGCAGAAAUUACCUAGGCAUUCUUUGAAUGAGACCCUCUCCAAAGUGGUUGUAUGCAAUUGUCACUUGCAUCUGCUUGUCUUUAGUGUAGGAGUCACUGUGGCCCAAUAGCAUGACCUGUUUGCAUUAACAAAAAGAGCCCCUGAAGUUAGCUCCACAGCUCUGGAAAUCAGAGAUAAAAAUCUACAAAUUAGUUUCAAACAUUAAAAGCACCUCAUUAUGAUGGGCGAAAUGAUUGUUAGAAAUAGUAAUGGCAGUUGAGCCCAUUACAGCAUCAACAAGACCAUCAGCACAGUGAGAGAGUGAGUUAUGAUCAACCCAUACGUGGCUUGAGCCAAAGAUAGAAAUGGCAUCACCAUCAGCCAUUGUCCUCCAGCCAAAAUGGGUCGUUGAACUCCUCACCAUGGCAUUUCCAGUUGGUUUACAGUCAUGGAUGUGUAGGCCAUGGAUAAUAAUAUUGGUAACAAACUGGAUUGUGAGACAAGCUCCAUUGGCAAUGUGAACAUUGUAGCCACGUGCAUCAAUUGUCUUGAAACUGUUCAUAAUGAGCUCCUGUUUCAACUGUAUGACCAUGUCGCGACUGAACACAAUCCAUAGGGGUUCCUCCUGGAUAACAGCAUGACGAAUAGUACCAGGCCUGGGGUUAACAGGGUCAUCGUCACGAUUAUCAGUGACAACAUAGUAACGACCAUCACGACCACCAAUAGCAUUGCGCCCAAAUCCAAUGCCACAAUCAGCAAGACGCUUGCGGUUCUUUUGCCAAUUGGGAUCACAUCUCCAGCAGUCAUCAAUAGGAUUUCCUGUCCCACAUGAGAAAUAUCCAAGUUUUCGCCUCUCAGUGCUGUUCCUAAUGCUCCUGUUUAGCAACCCAAAACAUAGUUAGUUAAACAUUAAAAAAAACUGUCAUUUUCAUUUACACACAUUGGCAGUAAAUUCAUUGAACAGUACCUUAGGAACAUGUCACUUUCUUUUCUUUAAAGUAAAAUUAUUGUGUCUAAGAACAGGGGAAUUCAUUUAUCCCUAGAAAUGGAAAUAGGAUAGUCAAAUUCAAAAUACUGUUUUUGUGGUUACUUUGAAGAGUGUCGGUGGGAAUAACUAGCAAUAUUAUACGUCUACAAGUGUAGGGACCCAUAAGUUUGGAGCCAGUGAAAAUGCAUUAAAGGAUUUUGUCAUCCUACAAGGACUAUUUUGGUCUUUUCAGGUUUGGGUUGUUUGUUUUCUUGGUAAAAUAGGCAAAAACAAUAAUUAUGUAGGCACUACAUUUUAGAAAAGCCAAAGACAUAGGUGAAUGGUGAUGCAUUGCUGCCACAUGAAAAAAAAAGAUAAGAAUCAUGUAAAGAAAACAGUAUAAUCUGAGUGACUAUAAUCCAAUUGUAAUUUAGUAGGCAUUGCACCAUUCAGUUUGCUCUGUCAUUUUGGUAUAUUUUCUUGCAUGCACAUGCACUAAUAAAAACUGUCACAACUCACUACUCCACCAUGUGUAACCAGUCAAUUAAUGACUUUCCACAGAUCAUAAAUAACAAUACCCCNNNNNNNNNNNNNNNNNNNNNNNNNNNNNNNNNNNNNNNNNNNNNNNNNNNNNNNNNNNNNNNNNNNNNNNNNNNNNNNNNNNNNNNNNNNNNNNNNNNNNNNNNNNNNNNNNNNNNNNNNNNNNNNNNNNNNNNNNNNNNNNNNNNNNNNNNNNNNNNNNNNNNNNNNNNNNNNNNNNNNNNNNNNNNNNNNNNNNNNNNNNNNNNNNNNNNNNNNNNNNNNNNNNNNNNNNNNNNNNNNNNNNNNNNNNNNNNNNNNNNNNNNNNNNNNNNNNNNNNNNNNNNNNNNNNNNNNNNNNNNNNNNNNNNNNNNNNNNNNNNNNNNNNNNNNNNNNNNNNNNNNNNNNNNNNNNNNNNNNNNNNNNNNNNNNNNNNNNNNNNNNNNNNNNNNNNNNNNNNNNNNNNNNNNNNNNNNNNNNNNNNNNNNNNNNNNNNNNNNNNNNNNNNNNNAAAAACCCCCCCCCCCCACCCCCAAACCUUUUUCAUUGUCUUUAAAGGACAAAAUAGAAACUAUUAGCCUAUUGGUUGAGUUAAAAGAUAUCAUAUUUAACUCUUUCCCAUAUUAAGUUAUCCUACACCUGAGAAACUAUAGCCAAUUUUUUAAUUAGAAUUAGAAAAAAAGGACAAGGAGACAGUAGAGAUCUUACUAGAGGGGUCUCUACAUUUUUAAUGCUGAAAAUGUCUAAAUAAUCAAACAAGAGCCAACAAGUACUAAAAGUAGCCAACACAAUAAACAGAACAUACACACAAAUAUAGAUUCACCCCACCCCACCCCUAAAAAAGGAAGGGGGUGGGGGUAGAGAAUGCAAGAGUUGUUUGGACCAUGUGGGGGUAGGGUGGGGGGUGGGGGUGGAUUGAGUAGGUCUGCCAUAGAGGAGUCGUUUAAUAGGACCACAAAAAACAAGCUACUCCUAACAACCAAAACCUGUUGUGAGUUAAUGCAAACUUUUUUUUUCUUGGCAUUCGGACCCGUUUUCGCGCACGUUAAUACAAACUUUUUUUAAGAGAGAAGGAAAAGGUAACUCACUCUGCAACCAUGGCAACAACUUCUUCAGGAUCAUCCACUGCAUGUUUGCUUAAUUUCUCCUCAACCUCUUCCAAACUAAUACAUAAAAACAAAAAACAAAAAAAUCAAAAAAAAAAAGAGAGGGUAUAAUUGGUAGUUUCAGCUAAAAACAAUGGCAGCAACCGACAUUUAUCCACUAUUUCACGCAGCAAAAAGUACACUGUUAAAAAGCAACACACAUUACACUUUCACUCUGUGUUUUCUUUUCUUUACACUGCUCGAUACAGUAUAAACCUAUACAUACACUCUCUCUAUAUGUAUAUAUUUAUACAUAAAACUGCAACUGAAAAACUGUGAGAUGAGGCGAAUCGUUGAGCGGGAUAAGCAAAAUGACUAAAAUACCCACUAACUUACUACUGUUUAGUUAGUAAAUCUGUAAAUUAAGGAGUUUUACAGGGGUAGUUUGGGGAAUAGAAAGGGAGUUAAGGAACCAAUGAAGAUUUUCUGGUAGAAGAGCAGAAGGAAUCCAAUGAGAGUUGGGGGAAUGAAUGUUUUAACAGAUUAAACGGUUCAGAUCUAAUGGGAUAAGGGAUCUCAACGGCUGAGAUUGAUUCUAAUACAAAGUUCUUUGGAUCGGAACAGUGAGAUCCGACAGUGGAUAUUUAAUUAAUACUUUUGGGGCCAAAAACUAACGGCUAAGAUUGUUUCUGCAUACCUCACCGCCAUUGUUGAGUUUUCAGAGCUCAGCAACUGCUCUUUUUCAACAGUCCUGUUAAACCAAAACCAAAAUGUAGCGUUUCGUUAGGUAAAAUGUGGAGAAAUUUCGGCCAGAAAAAGCUUAGACUGUAGUGUUUUGUGUGUAAUGUAGAGGUUAAAAACAGCUCAAUCGAAAUUUCUAAGAAUUCUGCAAAAACUGAGUUCCGAGAAGAGUCUAAACGAAGAAAAUUUUCGAAACAGUAAUUUUCCCAGAAUUCUCUAGAAAUCUGCAAAAUAUCCUAAAAUUUCAAUGGAGAGAGAGUCCAAACGAGCUGGAAUUCGAAAUUUUUUGAAGCAAGACACUAAAAAAGAGUGAGAAGCCAUGAAACACAAAUUUUGUUGAACUUUUUCGAAAAUGCAGAUGAAUUCUGUAUCAGAGAAGCUAAAUAAACUCUACUUUACCUAGAAUUUCACAACUAAAACUCCUACAAAGCCAUGAAACACAAAUUUUGUUUAAGUUUUCCGAAAAUGCAGAUGAAAUUUGUAGCAGAGAAGCCAAAAUUCACUGUUAAAACUCCUACUAAGCUUCAAACACUGUACAAUAAACUGAAUAUCUAUGCUUUUUUCAGAGAAAUUCGAACAAACCUAGUGUCGGAACCGUCGUUGCUCUGCACACCGGCGGCGUAAACUCCGACGAGAAGCAACAAAAGCAGCAGAAAACUGAAGCUAAACGAAAGCCAUUUCUUCGAACCCAUUAACGAAGCCAUUGCCAUUUUUCCUCUUUCAGAAAAUCAGAAAAAGGAACAGAGAGUCAGAGGAAGAAGAAACAGAGAGUCAGAGAAGAAGGAGGUUGCACUGAGCCCAACGUAACGGCCUCUGAAGGUAGUUUAUAUAGAGCCUGUUAACAGAAAACGUUAAAUUUAACGGCCGUUUAUCAACUAAAAAAAUCCCCUUUACUAACUAUGGUUAGUGGUUUGGUUUUUUUGUCCUAAGGUUAAAUUGUCAUUUUAACCUAACCUGUAACCACUUUAGUAACCGCCAGUAACUGCUUAAGUUAAAGUUAAGUAUUUUUCUUUUCCAUGACCUCUUUUAAGAAACCCUUUUUAUGAUUGUAUCUAAAAAAAAUAAAAUUGAUUGUGAUAUGGUUUUUAAAAUUUAUUUCAUUUGAUCCAUUUAGGUGUAAGUUACUUUUGAAAUAAAGUUGUUAAACGUGUGAUGAGGAGGUCAUGAAUUUAAGUUACAGAAAUGUAGGUUAAGAAUAUGUAUGUAUAAUAAAUUUAUACGGUUUAAUCCUUUUUCGAACUUUACGUAUAGUCUUGUUGUAUGGGGUGGAGUGCUGAUUAGUCAAGAACUUAUAUGUUCAGAAGAUGUUGUUGCGGAGAUGUGAAUGUAUUGACAUAUUAAGAGCAACAAGAUUAGGGAUGAGGUGUUCCGAGAGAAGGUAGGAGUGGCCUCUGUGGCAGACAAGAUGAGGGAAGCGAGAUUGAGAUUGUUUGAACAUGUGCAAUGGAGGUGCGUUGACGCCCCCGUGAGGAGGUGUGAGAGGCUGAUUGUAGGGGGUACGUACCCGGAGGUGUAGAGAUAGGCUGAGAAGUAUUUGGGAGAAGUGAUUAGACAGGAAAUGAUGCAACUUUAUAUUAUCGAGGACAUGAUUCUAGAUAGGAAAUGAGUGGAGGUCGCGUAUUAAGAUAGAAUGUUAGUAAGGGUGAAGUAUUGUCUUGUCGUGCGUAGGUUUAGACUUAUUAGUGUCUUCCGUAGUUCUAGUCGUACUCUUGUAGUUUUUGUCUUAUGUUAUAUAUUGUGUUUCGAUUAUCACACAUAAUUGUUGUUAUUAUUAUGUCUACACUACUUUUCUUAUUAACUGUUAUGUUUUCUUCUUAUUCUUACUUGGGGUCAAUGCACUUGAGCCAAGGAUCUCCUCGAGAUAGGAAUAAAACAAACGUAUACUCUACCCUUCCCAUACCUCACUUAGUGGAUUUCACUGAACCCUCGAUGAAACUCAUAUUACCAACAUUCCAACGAAAGGGAAAACAAUAUUAUAUUCACGGGGAUUACCUUAUUCUACGGCGUUACACAAUUAUUUUUUUAUAUUCCAAAGUCUAAAGUCUAAACAUAAGGAAUUUAUAUGUCUUACUAUAUAUAUAAAUAAAUUUUUAAAAAAGGACUAGAAAGAGAAUUAAAGAAAGUUUGAGUACAAAAAAAGAUAAUAAUAAAAAAUUAUGGGCUAUCCGCGGAAGUCUCGGCGGAGUUCAUUGAAGAAAAUUUUUGUUGGGUGAUGAUUUAUGUUUUUUUGUCAAACAAACUCAUUUUUUUAUUACUAUAAAAUAAAUAUAUAAAUUUGACGUAUAAAUUAAGAUAAACUUAUAAUUCAUCUGUCUGGAUCUUCAUGAAUUUUUGCUACCAUGUUUUCAGUAAAUUUUCAAUUUUCUUUUAGUAUUGUAGCAUUAGGGUGUGGAAAUCGUGUACGAGAUUGUAGACUUAUGGUAGACUGAUAGCUAACGUAAAACUAAAAUGAGUUUAAAGGAAAUGAUAUUGUACGAUUAAGUAAGGAAUCAUGUAAUUAAGCAUAAUUUGUUUGAGAUUGAAGCAUGAUCUUAUUGUUGUUUAUACAAGUAUAAUAAUAAUAAAAAGAUUGGAUAUUUAAAGAGUUAAAGUGAUACUCUUGUAAAUAAUAUUCGAAAUUCAAUAGUAGCAACAUUUCGAUGAAAAUAAAUAAAUAUUCGACUGAUCGAGACGUAUAUAAGUUAACCUCAAACUCUAACAUUGUCAAAAGGAAUAUGAGGUGUAUGCAUGAAUUGCUGCCUAUGAUUGAUUGUUUGGAAUGAUUAAAAUGAUUGUUUAGAGUAAUUGAAACCAGCUGCAUGUUGAAUUUAUCUAUGUGUGUUUGACUUUAAUUUUGGGUUUGCUUGUUACGUGAGUUGUUUUUUUUUGUUUUGUUUUUAAUCAGAUAUCCGAUAUUCAUAUUAUAAUUCAACUAAAUUUAGAUUCGCGUAUAUAUAACACCUAUUUAAUUAGAUCUCUCUAGUAUACAAAGCAAAAAUGUUAACUUUGUUAAACCAAUUAGGUUGGAAUAUCAAUCUCAUCGAGAUCAUCGAUCUCAUACCAAAUCAACACGAUUUAUGAAUUAUGAAUUAGUAGUCUCUAUCGCGAAGAUAUAAUUCAAUGCAUUUGUCUCAUGUCAUUGCAUCAUCCGUCUACCUAUGUAUCCAAAAUUGUUUUCGCCCCGUAAAAAUGCAUUAUAUUGUUUAAUUAUCACACGAAAAGGUUUAACAAAAUUUACGAGAACGAAAAUGACUAACAAUUACAUCAUUUUCAUUAAAAAAAAAAAAUAAUUUUUUUCUGACAUGAUGCCAUAUUUGGUUGUUAUUAAUUACUUACAAGUUAUCAAAAGCAUAAUCAUCACCUAAUUUAACAUAAUUAACAUUUACGUUUAACACUUUGCUCCCCACCCUUCACCCUUUUAUUUAUUUUUUGCUUUUCGAAUAUAACAUGAUUUUCAAAAUUCUUAAAUUGGCACUUUUAAUCAUUAGGAUAACAUAUAAAAAGAGAGACAAUAAACAUACAAAAGGAAAAUUUUAAUUAGAUUGUUUUUAGUUCUAACCGGCAAAAAGAAAAUUUGUGAAGAUUCACAAGCGGGUCCGGAGAAGAUAUAGCGUAUACAUAUUUUACCACUAUCUCAUGCAGAUAGAGAGACUAUUUUCGAAAGACCCUUGGCUCAAGUGCAUCAAAUCUAAGUAAAAAAGAAGAAAACAUAGUCGUUAAUAAGAAAAAUAUUGUAAAAUCUACAAGAAAGAAACAAUAACAACAACAUAUGACAAAAACUAAAUGGGUAUGACUAGUACUACGAAAGACACUAACAAACCUAAUUAAACCUCUACAAGGCAAGACAACACUCCAACUCUACUAACCUUCUACCCUAAUAUGCGACCUUCACUCCUUCCUAUCUAGAAUUAUGUCCUCGAUAAUAUAAAAAUUGUGUGAUAUCUAAUCACCUCUCCACAAUACUUUUCAACCUAUAUAUUACAAAGAACUAUAGUAAAAAUUGUCAAUAUUUCAAAACUAAAUCCCCAAAUUUCCCAUUAAUAAUAUUUUUUUUAAAAACUCUAGUUUCUAUAUAUAUCAACACUUAAAACAAAAAACAAAAAGAAAUCCCUUAAACUUAUGGCAAAAGUCAAAAUUGGGAAUUAUUACAAAAUUUUGAGCUUUAAUUUGGCUAAAAUAUUGUACUUUUAGAAGGGGAAAAUGGGACAAUAUUAUUCUCUCCAUGCAACCACCAAGUGACCUCCAUCAUAACAUUUUUUUCACGCCUCUAUACACUACAUUUUCUCAAUCCCAAGUUUUUUUUACCCCACACCCCCUAGGGUAAGGUGGGUGAGUGGGUGGCUCCAUGCACAAAAAGUUACAUACAUUAUACAUAUAAAAACAACAUAAUGAAAUAAAGACAUUAUUCUAGAAACUAAUAAAAUCAUCAAUAAUGGUUAUGGUUGAGUAGUAAAUAUAUUUUUUUUUUGAGUCAAAGGUCUCGACUCUCGUAUUCGAGCAUUGGAUAUGGAGUCCGUCUUUGAAAGAGAAUGUUCUACCUUUAUGAUUUUGAAUUAAUUAAUCAGAUUUCAAUACGAAUAUCAAACAGUGAAAAAGCAAAAAACCAAAUUAAAUUAGGUCAUUGUAUGGUCCAAUUUGUCAUCAUUUUUACCUUACAAACAGCAUCUAUGAUCUAACUGCUAACGGCUCAUACAACUGUUUCUGUCCUGUAGUUAUAAACUUUUUUUUUUCUUGUUUUAGUUCAUUUAGCUUCAAUAACAAUUAUUAUUCUUUUGGAAAUUUUAGAUUUAUUAGAAUUUAAGUUAUAUUCAUUUAUAGUGUAAUGAUUUUCUAUGUUUGACCUUACGCAUGUAUGUAUCGAUUAAGUCACUAGUUAUUUGUUAGUUUUCACCAAUAAUGUUAUUGGAUAACUCUAUCAACCAACGCUUAAACAGAUCGAAAAUGAAUAUAUAUGCACUUAUAAAGAAUAAAUUAUCUACUUGAAACUGAAAAAUAGUUAUUUUAUUUCUUGUGAGGUUAAAAAAAAAGUAAAAGAUGUAUUUUGAGCUACAAAAAUCGAAGCUACGUUUUAUAUUCAUUUUUUAAAUUAAUAAAUCUCAAUCUUUCACAAUUUUAGCACAAUUGAAAUACUUUUUUCACAAGUCAACACCUACAAUAACUAACUAACUAAUGUGGAAUUUCAGAAGUUUGACAAAAAAUAAAACAUAACUGAGAAAAUUGCUUUAGAACUAAUUUCUUGUUGCUCUUUUGGCUAGAUUAGAAGUUUCUUUCGUAUUUCAUUUAAAAUUCAGUAUUUACAUUCAGGUCGAUAAAAUUUGGACUCACUUAUUUGCAAGGUUCAUUUCUCGAGACGACGCUUCCAACAAGAUUGUUCCAUUUUAGGAUCUCGAACUCAAAAAUCUCUGAUUAAUACUGGAGGGAUCUCAGCUAUUCCACCACAACUCAUGUCAGUGACCAGAUUAGAAGUUGUGUAUAUGGAUGGUGACAUAGAAACUAAUAAAACUAAUUAAAUAUAUGAUUAAUGAUAUUUUUCCACUUGUUUUAGUUAUUAGAUGUAACUACCAUCAUCUAUGUUUGACUUGUUUCACACUAAAUUAUCUUUACUUGUAAAACUUUAAACUUACAAUUGUCCUAAUAUAGUAAGUCAUAUCAACAAAAUAUAAUGAGUAUAGUUAUAAUUUGAAACCUUUUAUAAAAGUUAAUUCCACUAAUUUUUUUUACUAUAUAUAUAUAUUAGUUUCCAAUAGUUCCAUUCUGGAACAAUUUGGAUAUAAGAUGGUUUCAAGAUUUAACCUUUAUAAGUUAUGAAAUUUAUCAUGAUAUUGACCUUAAGUUUUAGUAAUUCAAUUCUGUUAAUUUUUCUAUACAUAGGAAAGUUUGCAAAUAGACACUUUUAAGUUUCAAAUUUCACAAAUACAUUUUAAGAUAUUAUCAUGAAAUUUCACCUAAAGUCUAGAGAUAUUGGCUAUUUUGCUAGACAUGACCGAAAAGUGAUCAGAUGACACUAAUUUUACCACAUUUACAAGAUUUGAGCCUAGAUUAUUAAAUUUACGCAGCUAAACCCAUAUCUAAUAUUCUAUACCCGACUACCUAUUUCAGAUGUCGUUACUUUUUUUUUCUUAGUUAUUUUCAUCAUAUCUUUCUUCUCUUAUAUUUCUCAAAUUUCACUUCUGAAAUUACACUGACUAUAUUAUUGUGUUAUAAAAAUCAAUUUCAUACAUGACCACAUGAAUUAUUAUUUUUACCAUAGUAGAAAUCAAUUCUUACUACAUGCCUUUAUUUCUACAUUAUCUUGACCUACAAGCAAGAAUUUUUUGUUUUUUUUCUAACAUUGACAAGAGUUGUGGGGUUUUGUUUACUCAAUUACUAUCUUCUUUUUACUUAUUGAAAAAGUAAAAGUUUUGAUUUUGUAGGCCAAUGUGUAGUUUUUUUUGUUAAUUUUGUUACCAUUAUAUUUGCAUUUAAAAGAUUUAAUUUAAUUUAUUUAUUUUCUUUGCAUUUAAAAGUUUUCUUCACUUUUACUUUUUUAUUUUCUUUUUCAAACUGUAGAUUAGUUAAAUUGGUCAAGAUUCGAGACAAUACUAUAGUCUACUUGUACGUAAAUUGGCCACUUUUUUACCUCGAAUAACGGGCCAUCAAUCAAGUUCCUAACUUAGGCUAGUUCAAUAAAAAUAAUUAAUAAGUAUUAAAUGUUUUUAAAAAGUAUUUUUAUUUUUUAAAAUAAUUUUAUUAAUUAAUAGUUAUGUGUUUGAAUAGAGAUAUUAAACUGAUAAUAAAUAGUUGGAGUUUUAGUGGAAAUUAAAAAUGCUAACAUGAUUUAUUUUUUAAAAUGACUUAAAUGUCUUUAAAUUAUUUACUUAAAAUAUUAAAUUAAAUGUUUUUAAAAUAAAAUAUUAACUUAGAGGUUUUUAAAAUGAAAAAAUGACAUGGUGGAGACAGAAUGGAGAGGGAAUUAAGGGUUUGUUUAGGAAGGUGUAAUCUUGAAAUUAGUACAAAAUAUAUUAGGAUAAAUUAAAAGUGAUUAUAAGCUAAAAAGUUGUAAAAUGGACAGCUUAUGAUUUUAGCCUGUGUUUUCAAAAACGUUUUUGGGGCGAGCCCCAGGGAGAGUUUCAGGACGGGGUGUCUCAAAAAUGCUUCGGGGUGUAAAUUAAAGACGUAGAUCUAUAAGGCGUAAGUCCUAAAAUUUGAGGCGUAAGCCCCGAGCAUAAAAACGUAAGUCCUGGGGUAAAAACGUACACUCAGACGUUUUUAAUUUAUUUUAACCUUUUUUGCUUUAUAUCAUAUUUUUAUUAUUAGUGUAAUGAUAUUUCUCAAAUAGUAAUUAUAAUACUUUUUUCUUCAUUUUUGAUUAUUACUCUCUCCGUCCCUAUUUAGUUGUCCACUUUAGAAAUGACACACAAAUUAAGGCAACAAUGAUUAGCAUAGUGAAGUUACAAUUUUACCCUUAUAGUACAAUUUAUAAUUUUAAAAUAAAUUAACUCAAGAUAACUAAUCAAUGUUGGGAAGUUCAUAAGUUUAUUUACUUAUUUAUGACAACUUUAUUUAAAUAAGGGUAUAAUAGGAAAAAAAUUGUUGUCCUUUCUUGAUUUGUCAAAAUGGACAACUAAAAGAGGAAAUAUGGACAACUAAAUAGGGACGGAGGGAGUAAUACUUAUCUCAAACAAAAAUCAUAAAUCAUUGAAAGGUUUACUUUUGCUUAUUUUAUUAGUAAUAAAACUAUAAAAUUGAAUAUACAUGAGACUACUCCCCGUAGAUCCAUGGAACUUACGUCCCGUGUCUCGGAGCUUACGCCUCGCCCUAUUUUGUAUAAAAUGCCUUGCCUCACGCCCUCGCCUUUUAAAACACUGAUUUUAGCUUAUAAACACUUUACACUAUAAACAAUUUUGAUACAAAAAUGAAAUAAUAUGUUUAAUAUAAUUUUAAGGUUUACAUCGAUCUCCAAGGACAAGCAUAUGAAUAAGGGUCAUGACUAACAAAUAAGAUCAUGAAAGUAUUUAUAUAUAUAUUUAUAUAUAAUUUUUCAUCAGUAUAUAGAUAUCGAGUAACUCUUUCCGUCAGAAUCUAAACCAAGACAUGUGGAGAAAUAAAAUCACCUAGCAUGCUUGCUUUUAUUGAGAUUUGAACUUAAUUAUGACUUCACGAUACUCAACUCACUUUAUUGAUCACUACGUCAUACUCUUGUAUGAAACAUGAGGAUAUACCAUUACAACAAAAAUAACUUUUAGCGGUAAUAAAUAGACACAUUAAUAAAGAGUGCUGAAGUCUUUACCGGCAUUAGUUAAGUGUCAUUAUAUCCAAUGUCGCUAAAGCCUUUAGAAACAUAUACAAAGAGUGUUAAUUGCCGCUAAAAAUACAUAUUUAAUGACAAUUGCUAAUUAAUUGCCGCUAAAGAUUAUUUUUAAUGUAGUGUACACUUUCCGUAAUGAAAAUAAAAAGGUGACAACACAUACAAAGAUGCCGGAGGUGAUUAUUGUACGAUUUUUUUUUUACAUAUACCAAUGCACGUGUAUUAAGUGAUAUCAACUUAUCAUAACUAAAUAAUUUAGUACAAUGAUAAUAUAUUACUUAUACAAACACAUAUUAUGCAUGUAUUGAUUUACGAUAACUACUAUUGGCAAAUAAAUUUUUACUAUUAAUGUUAGAAAUGUUUAGCCGUUAAGGAAAAUGACAUUUUGAGAGUAAAAUUCCGUUAGAAAUGAUUUUUUGCAGAGCCGUUAAUAAAACGACAAAUACCCUCACGUGGAAUUACGUUUUUAACAGCUUUUUUCGGAAAUUGCUAUUAUGGGGCCCUCAUUUAUUAAUUUCUUUCAUUUUAGUGGUUCACUAGUUUUAUAAUUUUGCAUGUUUAGUCCAACUAAACCAAUUUAUCAAUUUCUACAUCUUUUGUACAACAAAUUUCCACCCAAACAAACAACUACCAAUAAUUUCACGAGUGAGGUUUAGGAAACGUAAGUAAUUUAAAAGAGUAUAUCAAGUCAUUUGAUUAUUAAUAUUGUAUGUUAAAAAUUUUCUGAUCAAACUGUUAUCAUAGUGAACUUUGCAAAAAGUUUUCUCUUCGCUUCUUUCUUUGCUGACAAGUCUGCAAUUCUAUUAUGCUCUUGAUAAGUAUGCUAUAACAAGAAGAUUUGGUGGUUAGGUUUCUAUAAAUUCGACUAAAUUUCAAUUCGCGUUGAAAAGUCAAUUUUAUAAGAAGGUAUUUAAGUAGAUAUUGCAAGAGAAGAAGCAUGAAUUGUAGUACAACUUAUUUUUCUUUUUACUUGUGUGACUAUCUUUAUCAUGGUGCUUAAAGGAGGACAAGACAUAAGAAGUUUCUCAUAUGUACUUUAUAGUAAAGAAGCUCUUUUACUUUUACUUAGAAAAAGAUAUGGAAACUUCCCAAAAUUACUAUAACUUGAUUAAAUAUUAAAGGAUUAUAAUUAUAUUCAAGAUUGUUAUACGAUAAAUGAUAUACACAUUAUUAUUAAGAUGAUUCGAUAUGUUGUUACGUAAAGAUUCUUCCUUCAUAUUUUACUUCGCAUGAAAUAAUAUAUAAAUGUUCUAAUAAAAUUAUACUAUUACACAUGAAUUCAUACUAAAAAUUAAGGGUCAAAAUCAACGAUCGCCCCUCAAUUAUGACCUAAAAUUGAGUAAAAAUAGAUGAACCACUUUGUACAAUUACUACUUUUGCAAGAGGCAAUGAAGCUUCAAUAAUCUUGACACUAUGAAGAAACAAGCAAGAAAUUUCUAGGAAGUCUCUCAAAGUGAAAAAUUAUGAAACAAAGUAAUUAAUGAACUUAGAUAAAUUAAAGUUGAGUGAUAUUUUUAUUAUUAAAAAAAAAAAUUACUAAUCACUUUAAUUUGAUAUAAUAAAGUGAAAAUCAAAUGAUCAUACAUCGUAUUAUUAAAAAAAAGUAUCAUACUAACAAAAGUUUUGCCAAUUGAGCAAAAUUAUUGCAAACUUUAGCUUGCAGUACUCUUUGCAUUUGUGACCAAUUAAGACUAUAGUUUUCUAAUUGACCCAUUUGUUCCCUAUCAUCCAAAUAUAUCACAUGGAAUUCAAUUUCAACCAGCCAAUUUUGAUGAAAAUAAAACAAAAAAAGGUUAUUUAUAUCUUCAUGGAUUAUUAUUAUUCAGAUACCUAACUAUCCAAAUAAUAUUAAUCCUCUUGAUAUUCAUAAAAACAAGAUGUGACUUUUCUUUAUGCAAUUAUUAUAUAUGUAGUGCAAAAGAAUAGCAAUUUUAUUUGAUGUAUAUAUCACCCCAACUUUAUAAAUCCAAUAAGACCUUAAAAGAGACAAGAAAACUCUAGAUUAAACUAGUAGCUACAAUAAGUUGCAACUUCCACUAAACAUCAAAGUGAUAAAUCAAAUCAAUAACUACUUUUAAUUCAAAAAUAUAUAUGAUUUAGAAAGAUUGGCAUAUGUUACAUUUUACGUACAUAAUACAUAACGAAUCAAUAUUUAAACUUUUCAUUAAUUUCUCAUAUUUGUGAUCGUACUUUAUUAAUCAUUAGUUUUCUUCUGACGAUAUUAUUCUUUAUAAUCCUCAAAUCACCAUGAAUCUAUUUUUGUAUAUGGACUUUUGUUAGACUCUAAAGGCAAAGGGUUAUAUGGUAUCAUGAGAAAAUAAUUAAGCAAGAAAAUAAUUAUUGUUUGUUAUAUAGUUUUAAUCAUGGCCAAACCUACUAAUUAAGAAAAAAAUUGUCAAGCAAAUGACCCCAUUAAAUUGCCCCCCAACAAUACAAACGUAGCACAUGGAUUUGAUUUAUUUUGAACUAUCAAAAAUGAUGCAUCAUCAUCCAAUUCCAACCAUAUAUUAUAGGAAUAUUUAUUUUGUUCUUCAAAUACUCUAGCAAAUAGCUGGACACCCUAUAACUUUUUGUCUAAAAUUUUCUCUAUCAAUACACCUCACUAGUUAAUUAGGGUCCCUUUAUUUUUUAUUUUUGAAAAAUGAACCUUUGCAUGUGUAUUCCAUGUGCUAAAAUGUGAAAACAAUUCUAUCCAUCACAUCACUUUUUUUUUUUAUCAUAUGCUAGUAAUUAAUAUCUAAUUGUAUUUUUUUUAUUUCUUAUCGAUAUUUGAUAUUCACGUUGAAAUUUGAUCAAAUUUGAAUUUGCGUUAGAAACUUCCAUAUUGAGAGUAAAGCGCUUUCUGUAUCUAAUUUCAUACUUUAAGUUAUACUAAAGAACCUCUUUGAAAGUUUUCCCAUUUCAUGAUUUUAUUAGGGGAACUCUUCAAACUUUCUUCAUUAUGAUUUAUGCCGUGGUCGAAAUUCUAAAGCUCGCUAAGCCUCCCUUCUCUCUCCACUCCGUGUAAGCGGGGAAAUAUAUUGUUGCUAGCAUGCAUUUUCAGAAAAUGCAUCUAAUUAAUUAAUUACUAAUUUAUUUGUUUCAAUUUGUUUGUCUUUUCUUUUAAUCUGCUUCAAAAAGAAUGUAUUUUCCUGAUAAUUUGACAAGACUUUAAUUUUAAUAUAUGACAUGACAUGUUCAAGAGUUAAGACCACAAGAUUAAAAGACGUUUACAAAAAGCUAAUAAUCAUUAAAAUUAUUUAUUAGGUAAGUGGCAAUACGAAAACAUUUUGGCCCCUACGAUCUUAACACCAAUUAAUUAAUGUAAUUAAUAUCUAGCUAGCAAUCAACAUCUAUUACUUAUAUCCACUUGUGAUAAAUGCAAAUAUGCAAUGAAGCACAUUAUAUUUUAUGUUUAUUUAGAAAUAUUAUGUAUGAAUAUUACAAAUGAGAAAUUACGUAGUCCACUCAUGUAUAAAAAAAACUUAUUCUGUGAUUUCAAAAAAAUAUAAUACAGUAAAAUAUUUAAAUUCGAAAUAUGGUCAGUAUAACUCUUUGAAGUACUUUGGAUAAAUUUAAAAAGUAUUUAAAGCACCUACAUUAACAAAACAAUUCCAAACUACAAAUACUUUAAACUUCUAAAAAAGUUACAUUUUAUGUAAAGCAAUAAAAUAAUUAAAGUCUUUUAAUAACUUCAAUGUGAAGAAUGAAGACUAAUAAAGAAUAAUAAAAAGACAAUUUUGAAAAAUUAGUGGGAAAAUAUAUAAUAACUAUUGGCGCCUUGUGAAGACAAAUUAAAUAGACAAUAGUGUAUUAUUUACUCUUUCUAUAGUUUUCUCCUUCAACUUUUAAAAAAGAUUAAACCCAUCUUUUCAAGUUUGUAAGAAAAUAGUAUUUUUUUUAAUCAUCUGGUAUUCAAAUUUUACUGAUCGAAGUAACUUCACUUCGUGUCAAUAGUAUUACAAUCGGAGCAAAGUGCUUUCCAUUACAAAGUUUUUCAUUUUCAAAAUCUAACUUGAAAAACAUCUAAUAAAAAAAAUAAGAAAUAUCAAUCAUCUCACCACAAUUCAAGAAAUAGUACUCUCGAUAUUUUUUUUUCAAUUUUUACUAAUCAGAAUAACUUAACUUCGCACCGAGAGUAUUACAAUCGGAGCGAAGUGCUCUCUAUCAAAAAGUUUUUCAUUUCCAAAAUCAAACUUGAAACAUAUGACAAAAAAUUGAAGGAAUAUCAACCAUCUCACUACAAUUCACGAAACACUCUCGAUAUAUUUUUUUUCUUCCAAAUUUGUUACUCCUUCCAUUUCAAGACGAUGAGGGGUUUCACUAUUUAUUACAUUGGUCAAACUUUCUUAAAAUAACUAUAAACUAUAGUCUAUACAUAGAAAGUAAAUAUUAAUUACAACUUUUUAUAAAUUAAGAAAAGUUAAAAGAUAAUAUGACCAAAAAAAUGAAGUCAAAGGAGAAUUGUUUGACUUCCUUAAUGCAUCAUAUAAACUAAAAUAGAAAGUGGGGAAUUUUUGGUGUUUUCCGAAUUUCUAUUAGCUCACCAUAAUUAAGUGAUAAAAAUAAGAAAAAAGAAUGAAUAUUAACUAAGUGAUCGUUUGGUUAUACAUAUAUUAAUAAUACAUUAAUUAAUUAUAAGAAAAUUCACGUAUUAUUUUAUGUAAUGUAAAGUUCAGCUAUUCAUUUAUUAGUUAUAUAUUCCACAUUUUAUUCUGCAUAAAACAAUAUAUAAAUUUCCUUAAAUCAUAUAUAUGUAUUAGUAGAAUAAGUUUCUAAAUUACAAAUCAUACAUCGUACUAAUUUUAUAUAUGGAUACUUAUCUCUUAAACAACCAUCAAACAUCAUAUUACUUACGAAUGAUUUGAUACAUAUAUAACUCACCUUUGACCGUUAUCAAAUGACCCAAAAGAGUUUAAGUUAUAUACAUCGUUAGUAUAAAUUUUUUUUAUAAUUCUAAGUUAUCAAAGUCGUAUAAAAACAAUUUUUAGUUUGACCCGUUUUUUCAUAGUUCCUCCAAUCACGGGUCGAAUUCACAUGGCUACGAUUACGGUAGAGUAUAGAUGCAUUUAAUAAACUCACAUUUUUAUUUUUAUUUUCCUUCCAAUUUAAUAAAUACUUUUUUGUAAAAAAAAAAAAGAACUUUUUCUUUUUCAGCUUUGCCUUCACGCAGUGAUUGGUGGCCUUCUCUUUAUUACUAUGUGUUCCGAGUUAUGUGUUAAUAUUUGACUCGAUAUAAAAUUUAAAAAAUAAAUAUUUAAAAAUUAGAUUGUUGUUAUUCUAUUUAAAACUAUCUAAAAAGUAAAUAAUCAUAUAAAUUAAAAUAGAAAAAAAAUAGUUACUUACAAGAAAUUUACUUUUGCUCAAAUUCUUCUAUAUUUUAUAAUUUUGAUAUUAUUUUUAAAAUACUGACACAAUUAAUUCAAAUUUAUAAAAUGCUAUCCAAAUUAUUCUUAGGAGUAUAAUAUUUAUAUUUUUUCCCCUUAAAUUUAACUUUUAUAUUUACAUCCCACGUGAUGGUACGGUUUUGUUGGUACAAAAGACAAUCCCAACAGAAAAAAAAAUAAAUUAAAAUCAUCAAAAGAGAGAAAACCAAUUUAUCUACGAAUCACUUUAUUUUAUCAGAUUUAAAAGGGCCUACCUUAUAGUAUAAUAAUAAUAAUAAAUAUAUAAUAUAAAAAUAAUUAAAUAAAUUGUGUCAUAAAUUUGGUGGCAAAUUUGGUCCAACUUUUGUAUGACUCACAAGUAAAUCCAUUUGACCCCACAUAUUAUUGCAACAUUUUUUGUUUUAAUUAUUUGUUUGCUAUUAAUUCAUUAGUCUUUAACUAUAAAUUUUGAAAUAUUUUAAAGAAAAAUAUACAUGAUUGGUUAUACAUAAACUUUAUUUGUAAAAAAAUGUACAUUAUUAUAUCUAAUUUAACAUCCAUGAUAAAAUAUAUUGCCUUUAUCUCUCUAUACGUAUAGAAUUAAAUGUUGUAAAAUAUGGAGAGCAUAUCUACCUUCUUGAAUGAGUGAUGUGAUUUAUACUUAUGAUUGUGAUGAGGUAAUCCGAAUACAUCUAUUAUUAAUCAGAAGUCUCGAGUUUAAGUUUAUGGAAAUGAGAAAAAAUCUAUAGAUAGCGUCCUCCCAAAAAUAGACUCUAUAAUGCACGGAUUCAAAUUUAAUUGAACUACGAAUAUCGAACCCCACAUAAAAUUCCAAAAAAGAAGUGACUUGAUUGUGUUGUCACAUAACUUUGGGGUUAAAGUUGUCACACAUUUUUAUUUUUAUUUUUGGAAAUAUUAUUUUAGUAAUUCUCGAAUAUAAUAUACUCUAUAUAGUAUAUUGUGAUCUCUAAUAGAAGAAAUAGUCGCAAACAAUUUCUAUUGCUAAAUAAUAAAAACUCGUUGCUAAAUCUAUUUAGCAAUUAAUAAUAAAAAAAACUUUGUUAGGUACAUAUUAUUUAACAAACAUUUUUCUAGCGGUCAACAAUUUUACUUUUACUACCAUCAUUUUUCUACUUUUUUUCUUACAUUUAAAGUCAACCAAAUUAUUUAAAAGUUGUUUGUACGUUAAGUCAAUUUAAGUAUGUCUAUUGCAAUUUUGUAAGUAUACAAGUAAAUGAUAGUAGUACUUAAAAAUGAUAGGCAUCAACGGUUGCGGUAAACUGAUAAAUACUUCUCCAUUUUCGAUUAAAAUUUUUAAAUUCGAGCUAAGAAUAUGAAAUUGUCUUUGAUAAAGAAUGCUACGUAUGGCAUUUUUCAAUAAAAAAACAAAUUAAUUUAAUCCCAAAAUAAAUAGCAGACGCAGACUAAAAAACGAAAAAAAGAAGAAAAUGAUAUAAAGAAUUAUUAGUGCAUGUAUGAUGAACAAUACAUUAGCAUCAAUGCGUAAUCAUUAAUUUGUUUUAUAGUUAAAAAGGUAGCUCUUUUUUGCACUUUUUUUAAAAGGAAAAAGAGUACUUUUAAAAAUUUUCACAAUAUUUUCCAUUUGAACAUUUGAAAAAAGAAGUCCUAUAAAGCUCUUCACUCUUUUUUAUCUAGAUAAUAAUAAUCAAUAAAAGAGGUACAAAUUUGGACCAUAAAUUAUUCUGCUUUUAGGUUUUGUUAUGUCGCCAAUAUAAUAACUUUACAUUUUAUUUUAUUUAUGAGCAUUUAGAUAUAAUUUUGUAUGGAUCAUUUACAAAUAUAUAUGUUUUGAUAGUGUUCUAACGUGAAGUCAACUAUGUUUGGAGGGGAAAACAUCUUAUACGAGACUCGAUUAAAUUUGAAUUUGCGUAUUGUAGAGUUCAUUUCUGGGGGUGAGGCUCUUAGAAAUUCGAACAUGAAAACGCUUGAUUUAGAAUGUAGGAAUCUAAAUCGUUGCAUCAUAACCUAUGUUGGUAACACUUCUUACUUGAUCGAAAAAUUCAAUACGACUCACCUAUCGACCUUCUUUCUGAACUUAAAAAAAUAUUUUUUUUCUGAAAUUUUCAAUAAUUGUGUGUCAAAUGCUACAAACAAAAGCAUACCGAAUAUUAUUAUUGCUUGCACCCAAUAUUUAUAUUAUCUAUACAUUAUAAUUUGACAUGAUUAAGAAUAAGUUGAGGCAAAUUAAAUUAGAUACUAUUUAAUAAUCGCAAAGUAAUAUAAAUAUAUGUAAAAUACACAAUCAUGUUUAUUUUGUGUAAAUACUAUAUUAAUUUAAGUCUAUAGUCAAAUAUUAAGUAGAAUUUCUUAAUAUGUAUAUAAGAUUUGGACAAAAAUUACUAAGUAUUUGAUCAUGAUAAUCAACCAUCUAGAUCCGUCCUUGUAUAAUAUACACAGACCAACACUAUCCCGUGAUGCGAUUGGAUGAAUGAUAUAUAUCCCUUCAUAUCUAAUCAGAGGUUUUGAUCCAAAUCCUAAAAAUAAAGUAACUCGUAGCAAAGAACAUUCCUUGUUUUAAUGGAACGUAACCUCACUAUGUUACACUACACGAAUUUCAAAUCCCCGAUGAUUAAACAAAAAAACACACAAAAACAUACACUUAUCCGUACUCGAUAUUUACAUCAAAUCAAUAAAUGCAUAUCGAUUAUAGUUUAUAUUUAAAUAAUAGUUAAAUAAAUAUAUUAUUUAAUCACUUAACCAUGAUAAGUUAAUACGAUUUAACGUAAUAACGGAGUACAUAAUAUACUAUGGUAGUUGAUAAAUCAAAAUAGUUUACCAAACAAAAGAACAAAUUAAAGCCGUGACAUGCGAUACAAAUUUAAUUAUGAUUACAUCGACGCGUUCCAUUGACAAUUAAAAAGUCUUCAUUACUAAUUUUGCAGCUGUAAAACUAUAUGCUAAAAUUACUCUAUACUUUUUUCAACUCACUUUUCUAAUUUUCCAUAAUUUUGUUUUAGUCAAAUCAAACUAUCAUUUGCUUAACCUUUUUUAUUGGUCCUAAUCCUAUACUUUCUUUCACCUUUUUUAAGUUUACCAAUUUGAUUUAAUUUUCCAACUUUAUUGUUGAUGUAAAGUUUUUGGAGUUAAAAAAAGCAAUAAAAGGAGAGGAGAAAUAAGAAGAUAAGUCUUAUGAUUUCGACUUAUUUUCUGGUGUUGGGUAAAUAAGAAGAAAAUGUACGUUAUUCAAGAACAUUUAUAUAUAAUUUAGGCAAAUACUAUUGAGAUACUAUUUUACGAGUACAAGGAAGUUAUAUAAGUAAUAUAACUAUGAAUCUCAUGAUAAGUUGAUCCUGAAUAGAGAUGAACAUCGUCAGCAUAUGCUUAACACGUGUAAGUUGGAUCGAAAAUGGUUCUUUUAGUGACAGGUGUAUGAAUAACGCGAAAAUCUAAGGUCUAACCUAACCGCCAAGGUGAAUCUCAAUUGAAAGGUGCUAGACAGAUUAAGAACAUCGAAAUAAGAAAAUGAUUUUUACACGUUUGUUGAAAAUGCUGGAAAAAUCACAUGCUUCUGGUCAAAAUUUGAACAAUAAAAAAUUUAAGUAUUUGGUAGAUCAGGAAUUUAUAAGAACCAAUAAUUUGAUGAAGUGAAAAAAUUAGAAGAAAUUUAUUCCAACUUGCUUAAGUUUGACCUAUUUGCUUAUGAUUGAAAAAUCAUUCUCCUAAUAAUUUUCCAUAAUACUAUUUAGUGAUUUUAAUACGAUAAAAUGAAAAUUGAGUGGUCAAAUCAAUUAAAAAAGGACAAGCCUGAUGUCCUAAGUUCCCGCUAUGCUUGGACUCCAGAAAGGAUCAGACUACAACAGUCUAUCAUAUACAAUCUUAUCAUACAUUAUUGCAAAAGAUUGUCACAACUCGAACAUGUAACCUCCUAAUCACAUCACAACUUUUUUUUAUUUUUUGGUUUCCCACCAAGUGUCCAAAGCCCACAUUGAAGCUCAAACUAAAUCUGGAUUGCACACUGCAAGGCCCAUUCAGGGGUGACGCUCCCAACAUGAUUUUCUCCAUACCCAGAGUUCAAACCCGAGACCUCUGGUUAAGGGUGAAACACGUCCACAUGCACCACAACCCAUACAGACUAAGACCUUAUUCACACAGCGAAGAAAGGCCGAGUGGAAGGGGGCAAUCAGCUGGCUGCUUCUUUGCCAUGCGCUUUGCUUCGCUUUAUUUUUUAGAAGAACGAGACUAAACCUUCGUCACCAUCAGCAUUUGAUACUCUCUCGAUAGCUUCAAUAGUUCACUGAAAGCCUUUGAUCACCGCAAGCCCUUCAGGUCACAUCACAACAACUUUACCACACAUAAUCAAUUGGCAUUUGAAAACAAAAAAGACAAAGAACUACACAGAUCACAAGCAAUAGAACUGAUCUGAUUAACCACAAUCUAUUUGGGCCUCAUUUCCACCAAAAUCUUGACAGUUUGCCAUAUUGGCAUGUUCUUUUUCUUCAACUUAUAUGAUAGAAAGAAGCGCGAUUUUGGUUCGGGGAGGGGAGAGAGAUUGUUCAUGGAUUAUAUCAUAUCUGUAAAUUAGUGUGCAUGACAAGUAGACUCAAAUGUAUAAUUUAAAGAUCAUACAUCACAGUAAAGUUCAAAAGAUUGAAAAGUCUAUUCAAGAAAUAAUAUCAGUUGGUUGAUCAAAAGGCUUGUUAGAGUUUCCUUGUUCCAGUUUAAUCUGACCUCCAUCUAUCAGUGUAGAACCUGAAUUGCCACCCUGAAUUAAAACAACAUUCAAUGAACAAAUGAAAAACUGUUAGAUCUAUGCAAUCCUUUGGUUUGACGGUUUAUAAAUGCGAAUAUAAUGCUCUAAGAACCUUCAAACUUGUUGACUCUGCGAAUGUCGAUUCUACUUCUCUUAGGUGCUCCUCUGUUUUCAUAUCGUCCUGAAAAUUUGAACGGAAACAAAUUAUUGUUACGGUUCCAUAUGGCAAUCAGUAGAAAAUGAUCGAUAAGGGUUAAGCAGGAACAAGAAGAGAGAUCUCAUUUAAUAUGUAUAAUUUUCAUGGAAUAACUAGGAUUUGCCAGAUGCAGUAGAAGCAUAUGGCUAUACUACAUACUAAUGAGAGGAAGGAUCGAAAUCGAGUACCGUUUUAUUUAUUUAGUAAAACUUGAAUUUCUUGGAGAUGAAAAGAUGUUCUCACUCAAAGAACGAGUUAGAUGCAGCGUGAUCAAGAGGGCUACAGCCUACAGGAUAUCAACUAAAAAGAAUGCAGACAUUUCAUGAGGUGCAAGGAUCAUAAUUUUGGAGGUUAAGAAAGGCCUAUGAGGGAAGAAAAUGCAAACGAAAGAAAAGUAAUUUCGGAAGUAGAACUUCCUCAAGAGCUGGUUCACAUAUGAAAACUAAAAACAUCAACCUAAAGAAGAUCUUGGACUACUUUUUUUGAUAACCGAGAAAUCCGUUUGUGAUCCGCUGCCCCUUUGGAUCAACCACAGCCUUCUAAACUCGGUGGAUAAUGGGCCCGCCCCUCUACCCUUCUCCACUUAAAUACCAGGCUUCGCUUUGCAUGGUGUGGGGCUUGACCUGUGACCUAAGUCACAAAUCCUCCACCUUUUGCCACUUGAGCUAUAGGCUACUUUUGAGUAAGGUAUUAUUGCUUGUAAAGCUUUAGCUUCCAAGUGCAUAACUAGUUUAUACCAAUUAAUGGCAAUUAGAAUCGUUAUUAGUCUACCACAAACCUUUCUUCACCGACAACUUCUACUAUGCCUCAGUCCCAAACAAGAUGGGGUCAGCUAUAUGAAUCCCCAUUGACCAUGUUCCCCAGUUAAAUUCAUACAAGGCCAAAGCAUAAGAAAGCACUACAUGUAAUCCUCAACCACAGAUUCAGUUUCUCUCCCCCCCCCGCCACCCCCCGCCCCCCUCGCCNNNNNNNNNNNNNNNNNNNNNNNNNNNNNNNNNNNNNNNNNNNNNNNNNNNNNNNNNNNNNNNCCUCCCCCCCCCCCCCCCCCCUCCUUUUAUACUGAUCACCAAAAGCAUUUUCCACUAUGCUUCAAGAUGAUAUUGACUCAUAAGGGAGAAAUGCGAACUCAAAAUGAACAGAAUGGCAACCACAAGCUUUCCUAUUACAGUAUAUGAAGCAAGAAUCCAUCAAGGAGAUAAUUUGUAGCACUUAGAAAUGGAGGAAUUAUUUUUGUUAAACUAAUGCCUGCACAGAAACAACAGACACCGAAUUGAAUCAUUGACAUACAUCACAAAAACAGAUGAUUGCAUCUAAACAUUGUUUCAGAUACAAAGUAAAGGCUGAUACAUACCAUGCCUUUUCCUUCAGGUUCAACAUGUUCCCUCCUCACUCUGCUAGGAAUGGGCUUACUGUAUGAAAAUCACCCUUUUCAUAAUAAGCAAGAUAACAGGGUACAGGGUACAGGUUGAAGAACAAAUAUAUCUCUGUCAAUAUGAAUAAAAUAGAAAAAGUGCAGUACCGUUCUUCGCCAUUCGUGUCAGAAUCAGCAUCCCAUCUUGAAUCUGCAUCCUCUAGAUCUUCAUCAGCCUGAAAGUUGCAAAAAUACAUUAACAUCUUCCAACAAAAAAAUCCAACAAUUUUUUUUCAAUAUCAGAUAAAUCUCCUGUGGCUUACUAGGAACCUGGUACCCUCCUCCCAACUUAAUUACAAGGCUUUGUCCACAGUAGGAUUUGAACCCGUAAUGUGUGCUUAGCCCACACAUCAGGCGUUGUGUCCUUACUGUCAAACCAAAGCCCUGGGGGAAAAAUCCAACAAUAUUCUUAUCAACGGCAGAAAUAUGAGAGCUUAUCUAUACAGGGAAGAGAUAUGUUUGCAUCUCUCGAAGUGGAACAUAAUUGCUAAAUGUAGAAAGUGGCAAAUAUGGAAACAAAUAGCAGCACGGAUCCAACAAUUUUGUCUCGAAUUACAACCCACUCUUUUUUUUAAUGACAACAACACACUCUUGGCAACUGAAACUUAAACACUUAGUAGAAAAUGGUAACGUUUCUAAGAGCAAUGUUAGGUAAAUGAAAGCAAACCUCGGGCAAUUCAGUAUCCGGUGGUCGCUCCUGGAACUGUACACUUGGGGCAUGCUGAAGCUUUGAAAGAUUCUCAAGCAGCUUUGAUCUUAUAUCUUCUAAAAUCUGACGAGAAUUUUUGUUCUCCAUGUUACUUGGAGCAACAUGCAAGGUAUAAUCUGGACCAAAGUAUUCAUAAUAUUCAUGUUGCGGCAUCUUAUCUUCAAGCUCUAUUCCUAAUGCAACUCCUGUCUGCUCAAACACAGAAGAACAAUUCAUAAGUAUAAGAAAAUCACAAAGGACAGUCAACUGUUCAGAUUUUUUUAGAAGAAAAGGUCCAAUAGGGUAAUUGGGGAAUACAACAUUCUCCUCCAAAGCAUGGUUAGGCUAUCCCUUUUUCGGUACCUUAAGUCCUCCCCUUCUUAGACAGGAGGUGUGAGAGGUUGGCUAUGGUGGGUAUGAGGAGAAGUAAACAUCUACCAUUUCCAUAGUAGCCUCCUUUUCAACUUUAUACAGUAAAAACUAAAAUUAACAAUUUGUGCCUCACAUGCUACCCACUUCUACUACCAGCGAGCAUGCAAUUUCAACUCAACAACAACAACAAACCCAGUAAUUGUCCCACAAGUGGGGUCUAGGGAAGGUGAGAUGUACGCAGACCUUCUAAUAGACAUUUAAUUUAAAAUGGAAGGAGAAUAACAUUCAUUUUCAGAACUUUGCAUUCUUUGGAUACUGAAACACUUGACUGUGUCGAGUGGUAAAAAAACACUGUAUCCAUUUAUACUUAUGCUACAAUAAAUUAAGCUGCAAGAAGCAAACAUGUCGGACUCAAGUUCAUAGACAUACAUUUACUGAACCCGUAUAUUCUGGCAUGUUUGCAGUAUAAAUGAGAAAAUCAUAACAAUGUGAGCCUUUGGUUUGGUUUUGUUUUUAACAAAACCGACCAAACCAAACCAUGAACAUCCCUAUUCAUGGGUAAUAUGUUGUUAAACUACUAUAGCAAAAAAACAUUCUCUUUUUCUCUUCUUGGUAGGUUACUUCAUUCAAAACAUAUUCACAAUCAAAAUGUACCGAAAAGAAGAGAAGUCAAGUCUAAUUCAAUCAUCACUCAUUAGAUGUAUGCACAAAUUGAUAGUGUAAACGACUUGCUUACUUCAUAACACCAGCAACGAGCAACAUUACGUAUUGUGUAGCCACCUCCACCAAGCAACAACAGUGGCACAUUGAAAGACCUCAUGUACUUGACACAUUCUGCAUGACCUUUAAUAGAGAGAUUAAAGCAGCCUAGCCUAUCACCAGACAAGGAAUCUGCUCCACAUUGUAAGACCACAGCACCAGGCUUAAAAACUUCCAUCACUUUGCCCAUAAUUGGCUUAAAGAGGGACUGAUAGCUCUCAUCAUCAAUUCCAUCAUCUAGUGGAACAUUUAGAGAGUAGUAUUUUCCACUUCCAUAACCAAUAUCACGUACAUCCCCUGUACCAGGAAAGUAAUCUCCAAAUUUAUGAAAGGAAACUGUCAUGACCCUAUCUGUGGUAUAGAAGGCCUCUUCCACGCCAUCACCAUGAUGGAUAUCAAUAUCCACAUACAACACUCUCUGCAACAGUGAUAUAAACAAGACAAAUUAGCAAUGAAGAACUUAUACAGCUUAUGAAUGUAAAUGUGAUUGUUAUGUGUUGGAUGCAAGCAUUUGAUUGACAUUUAGUUAAUGAUUGUAAAGCUAACACCAACUUUACCAGUUUCAAAAAUAAUAAUAAUUGUAAAGCUAACAUCAUGUUGAUAAUUCUAAAGCUACUAACAUGUCAUAGUGGGUUAAACUGAAAUGGAAGGAAGAGUGGAAGUGAGGGAUGAGAGGUUAAUGCCAUUUCCCUCGUUUUGCUAGGACACAUAGGGGUAGGAUUGCACACUAUCAACAUUAACACAAAUUUAUCCCACCCUUGACAGUUGUACAUAGAUUUGUUUUCUGCCCCUUCCCAUCAUAUCAAAAACUUUCGGGGAGGGUAAGCACCUGGCAUGGAAACAGCAAGUCUGUCUACCCAUGUGAAACUUCACUGGAAAUGAACUUUGAGAUGGGCAAGAAACUGAAGCCAUCAUCACUUGCACAUCUUUUAUUUGUUGUCCAAGAAGAUAUGUGAAUGUGUCCUUUAUAAGCCAAAGCAAUCAGCAAGGGGUCUAGACUAGAAUUUUCAUAUUUUAUGUAUCUCUAGCUCAUGGAAACUACCAUCCAGAAAUAUUUUGAUAGCUAGGCAAAGAAAAAAAACUUUCAAGAAACUAGAAAUUUGUUAAUAUAAUUACUACUCCACUUUACAAUAAAGAAGCACACUUCAAUGAAUAUUUCAACAAAAGAGAGAAGCUUCGGUGAUCAAAUGAAAAAAUAUGAUGCCUUUAGCAACCAACCCUCAGUAGUACCGUAUCCAUUAGCUACGUAGAAUCAGGAAAAGCUAAGAUGAGAGUAGAGCAUUGCCUCAUCAUGCAUUUAUCGUCAUUAAUAUUCCAACAGUUAUGAGGAUAAGGUGUGAAAGCCGAAAUUCUCUUUCGGGGUCAAUUCUCAGUAAAUUAGAAGAUCAUAUUGAAAUAUAAUUUAUUUAUUUUUUGAAACUGGUAAGAUUGUAUUCUACAGCAUUAGGGCAUACUGGCCGCCGCCAAAAGUAUUGAAAUAUAAUUUUAUCCCCUUACAAGCAAUCAUAAAAUGGAUACGACCAGAAUAAUUAUACAUAGGCUGCUUUCCAAGCAAGGAGAUUCAAAGAUGACUUCAUGAAUCCCUCCUAUUUCAUAAAAUCCUAGUAGUUGCUCGGAUUCGGGUGUGGGUGCCUGAUACUGAGUCAGUUUAAGGUUUGAGGGUACGGGUACGGGUAUAGGGAUUCGGCUAAAAAUAAUACAAACAUCUAAAAAUAGAGUUAUAUAUCUAAAUUAUAAGAUAUUAUGUGGAAAAAUUACAAGGUAUUAUGAGGAAAAGAAAUUGAUCUCCCCAGAAGGUGAUAUAAGGAAAAGGACUCGCAUCGAAUUUUUUAUAUACAAGGUACUCCAAAAAAAAAUCCAAUUUCAACUUAGCUUUUGUUUUGAUUACAGAUUUCAUUGUAGCUGUCCCAAAUUUCUUCAUUGAUUUUUGGUCAAGUACCCAAAACUGGCUGACUAAAUCCAGUACAGAUUCCACACCCACACCCAUGUCGUGUAAACACAAAUGCGACACCGAAUGCAAAGAGUCCGAGCAACUUACUCACUAACCUAAUCCAAUGAGGCUAGUUAUUUUAUUUAAUGUGAUUUCCUGAUGAGUACAUGAUAAAAUAGCCAGGCCAUGGGAUGGCUGAUUAUCACAAUAUCACAACAUAGCUCGAUGACAAGAUGUCAAUGUGUGAAAAGUAAGUGAAUAGUGAGAAAAUGUGACCUGACCAAUUUUGUCAAUCAGUCAAUCAACGUCCAUUUGGAAAAGUGAGUAAGAACAGCUAUAAUGAAAUACCUCAUGAACUUUGAGUAGCUCCAGAAUAGCCAACACGAUAUCGUUCACAUAGCAGAAACCAGAUGCUUCACAUUUCUUGGCAUGAUGCAAUCCACCAGCCCAAUUUACAGCGAUAUCACAGUGUCCAUGGUUCAACUUCACUGCCCCACCAACAGAACCUCCAGCAUAGGUUUGGCAGAAGGAAUAAAGACCAUCAAAAACUGGACAGUCCUCCCCAACGUUGAAUCUCUUCAGCUGCCUCAGCUGAUCUUGCUGUGUUUCUGGGGUUACGCUUCUCAAGAAAGCAAUAUAAUCAUCAGCAUGAAACCUGCAGAGAUCCUUAUCUCUAGCAGGGUUUGGCUUCAGAACAUGCAUAUGUUGUAAUAGACCAUAGUGGGCAAGAAGAGCAUGUGUCAUCCGCAUUCGAUGUGGCUUCAUUGGGUGGCCUUGUCCAUAAUAGUAAUUGCCAACUUCAGGAUCAUAGAAAUAACUUACUUUUCUCUUCUUUCCAUCUGCACCAGAUGCUAAGGAGUUUCCUCCAACAUCCAUGUCCCAAGCUAUAAACCAGUAAGGCUAAACCUAUAACAGAUGGAAAGCAAAGGCAGGAGGAAAAUUCAGCAAUACAAAGUAAAUCUCAACACAUAUUGACUACCAGCAAAGGAGGUUGCGGUAAAUACCUAUAUUUAGAUCUUUUCUCUUAGAAUAAAGAAUAUAAAUUAUCAAAAAAAAAACAAAGAAUAAGGCAUAAUUUGAUAUGGACACCCAAACAGAAACAGAAGACACCACC